rnacentral:lncRNA from 1 species
UUUGGAUCAUGCCAACAUUGAAACCUUUAUAGAUGAUGAAGGACUUCCAAGGGGAGAAGAGAUUGCGCCCGAGCUCCUAAAAGCUAUUGAAGGAUCAAGGAUUGCCCUUAUUGUCUUCUCGAAAACCUAUGCUGAUUCCAAGUGGUGCUUGGAUGAACUCGUCAAGAUCAUGGAGUGCGAGAAAGAAAAGGGACAACAGGUUUUUCCUAUUUUCUAUCAUGUAGAGCCGUCUGAAGUCAGGAACCAGACUGGGAUUUAUGGAGAAGCAUUUAACAAUCACGAAAGAAAUGCAGACGAGGAGAAGAAGAAGAAGAAGAUAGAGCAGUGGCGGACUGCCUUAAGGAAAGCUGGUAAUUUGAGUGGAUUUCCUCUGCAGGAUAGGUAAUCCCUACUUCACUUUUUCCAUUCCCAAUUUUCUGUCAGUUUAUUUUCAUUCUUGUUAAUAAAUAAAAUAUUUAUGAUUACAUUUAUCAAUCAAAAUCCAUUUUUAAGUAGUAGACAUUAAUAUGUUCGAUUUCUUGGAAAGUAAUAAGAAAGAGUAAAAAAAAAUAAUAAUAAUAAUAAUAAAUGAUUUUCUCACAUUUAAUUUAUUAUUAAAAUUAUAAAAGGAAAUCAAAUAUAAUUAAAAUAUAUCAGAAAAAAUUAUAUUUGCCCAGCAGAUGGAAAUGCCAAGUUUUGAAUUGUUAAAAAUCUUUAAGAUUCCAAAAUAUUCUUCCUUUCUAAUCGAUCCAUCUCAGCCAUAAUUUCUAUCAAUUAAAAAAAAAUGGUAGUCUGUCAAAUAAAUUGUUAAAAUUGGUUAUUUAUAUGCCUUGUAAAUUUGGAGAUAAUCUGAGAUGAUUAUUUAAAAUAUUGUAAUACUACCCUAAAUUUUGUUGGACCUCUUAUGAGACAAAAAACUUAGUUAUUGCACCCUUAACCUUUUUCAAUUUUAGAGGAAUUUUCUAUUACUUAAAUAAUUUUCUCAUGUUCUCUAUGCACUACAUGAGUUUACAUUUCUUCUUUACUUAAUAUUGUUUGUUCCUCUAUAUUUGCAAGUUGAUUAUUAAAUUUAUUUACCUUUUAAUCUAAUGUUUGUAUCUCGUUUUAUUCUAAUUAUCCCAUGACUCUUCUUAAGACCUUGUCUUUCACGUUGAAUCAUCUAAUGCUAAACUUAUUCCCUUGCUAUUCUACUUUGUGUACUCAUGGGAUUAAUAUAUUGAAAUUGAAAUUGUUUUUUUUUUCUCUCUCUUUUUCUCUUGUAUGUUCUACAUUCUUCUAUGCCUCAAUUACAAAUAAAAGCAAGCAACCUUAGAGCUUGUUUGACUUGAAACUAAUGUUCAAAAAAUAGUUUUCCCCAACCCAAUGUUGAAAAUAAUGAACAAAAUUUUAUUUGAAAAUUCAAAUAUGAAAAAAGUCUUUCUCAACUUAUGAACUAUGAAGGUAUUAUAAAUUUAUGUACAAUAUAACUUUUUCUAAGUAUUAUCUAUAUUUUCAUUUCUUUAUCACAAUACUCUAUAAGAAAAUACUUAUAAUCAUCUCAAAUAUGCUCUUAAAAAUGAACUUGUUUACCGAAAAAAAUUUUGAAAAAAAUUUUUAGUAAAAAAAAAUAAAAUAUAUAUUUAAGUUAUUAAACUAUUUUAUAUUCUAGAGAAAAAAAAAUCCAUUUUCAAAAACAAUAUCAAUACAUGCAUUUUUCUUUUAAGUAUCAUUUAAAAAUCUUUUUCCACAAGUCUAAUUGUUGCUAGGCUUUUGACCAACAAACAAACACGUGUCACUUUCCUUGUCAUUCUAAUUUAUAUUUGGAAAAAAAAUGGGGAUUUCAUCAAAAUAUGAAACUUACGUAGCAAUUAUUAACAACCUAAAUAUAAAUAGAAGUACAACUAAAAUGUACUUGUUUACAAAAUAAAUAGUUGAAAGUCUUAUAAGUAUAGAGGAUGGUCAUAAGUCAUGCUAUAAUUAAUAAAAGCAUUGCUAGGUUACAGAACUUGGGUGACAAAUUGGUAGAUUUCUAGCCAAACUAGUAUUGGUCUCUAUAAUAAAAUCUCUUAUCAUAAAAGAUAACGAUACAUUAGAAAGGUCAACUUCAAUUUGGACCUUUAGAAGCAAUUGAGGUAUUUACAUUGUUUUAUUGCACAUAUACUUGACUUAAAACAAUGAAAUUUUAUUCAAACAUGCGACUCAAUACAUUUUUAAUUUACAUUCUAUUUGACCUUAAUUUAGUUGCAUUGAAUGGAGCUAAACACCAUUCUAUAAUUUCCAUUUACUUCAUCUUAGUUUUCUUUGGCAAUUGAUUCUAACUCACUGCAUGUUUUAUUGUACUUUAUAAUGGACAGAUCUGAGGCAGAGUUUAUUGAAGAUAUCAUUGGUGAGAUUAGAAGAUUGAUUCCUAAGUUGGUAGAUGUUGGUAAGAACAUGGUUGGAAUGGAUGGAAAUUUGAAACAAGUGAAGUCAUUGAUAGAUGCCCAAUCAAAUGAAGUGAGCAUGGUUGGGAUUUAUGGGAUUGGUGGGAUUGGUAAAACUACCAUCGCCAAGGUUGUUUACAAUGAUAUGUUAUAUAAAUUUAAACGUCACAGCUUUCUUGAAAAUGUGAGAGAGAAAUCUAAAGGUGGUCGUGGUUUACUUGAAUUACAAGAAAAACUUCUUUGUGAUAUCCUAAUGGAGAAAAAUCUGGAGUUAAGGAAUAUUGAUAAAGGAAUUGAAAAGAUAAAGAGUGAGUGUUGCUUUGAAAAGGUUCUUAUUGUUCUUGAUGAUGUAGAUUGCCCAAGACAAUUAGAAUUCUUAGCUCCUAAUUCUGACUGUUUUCAUCGAGGAAGCAUAAUCAUUGUGACCACGAGAAAUAAACGUUGCCUAAAUGUAUAUGAGUCGUAUUCAUCAUAUGAGGCUAAGGGAUUAGCACGUGAGCAAGCUAAGGAACUCUUUUGUUGGAAUGCCUUUCGAAAACACCAUCCAAAAGACAAUUAUGUGGACCUCUCUAAUCGUAUACUGGAUUAUGCUAAAGGCCUUCCAUUGGCUCUUGUAGUUUUGGGUUCUUUUCUCUUUCAAAGGGAUGUGGAUGAAUGGGAAAGCACAUUGGAUAAACUCAAAACAAACCCUCUCGAAGAUAUUCAAAAGGUACUCCAGAUAAGUUAUGAUGGACUAGAUGAUAAAUGCAAAAAGUUGUUUCUUGAUAUUGCAUGCUUCUUCAAAUAUAAGGAUGAAAAAUUUGUUACAAGAAUACUAGAAGGUUGCAAAUUCCAUCCCAAGAUUGGACUAAGAGUUCUUGAUGAGAGAUGUCUUAUCUCUAUAACGUACGGCACUAUAAGGAUGCAUGACUUGUUACAAGAAAUGGGUUGGGCAAUUGUUCGCCAAAUUGAUCCAGAAUGUCCUGGAAAAUGGAGCAGAUUGUGGGAAUUACAAGAUAUUGAAAGUGUAUUUACCCGAAAUAAGGUAAGAGAAAAAUACAUGAAUAUACUUGAGACCUAAAGACAUAAAAGAUUCAACAAGAUUUAUUUUUAUUAUUAUUAUAGUCUGAGUACCUUAUCUAUAUAAUUUUAUCGAAUCCCUAUGCAUCUUAUACUACUUUUUCUCAAUGCUUGUUUUCAGGGGACAAAAAACAUUGAGGGGAUAUUCAUAAAUCGGUCUUGGGAUACAAAAAAACGUAUACAACUUACUGCUGAAGCUUUCAGAAAGAUGAAUCGACUUAGAUUGCUCAUAGUUAAAGGCAAUAUGGUGCAGCUUUCCCAAGACUUUGAAUUGCCUUGUCAUGAUUUAGUAUAUUUUCAUUGGGAUAACUACCCUUUGGAAUAUUUGCCAUCAAAUUUUCAUGUAGAAAAUCUUGUUGAACUUAACCUCUGGUACAGCAACAUAGAACAUCUUUGGGAAGGAAACAUGGUAUUGCUAUUAUUUAGUUAUAUUUUUGCUCUAGACUAAUUUUAAAGUCUUUUGAAGUUUACUUAUUGAAACGAAUUUUCUUCUGUUACAGACUGCUAGAAAGUUAAAGGUCAUUAAUCUCAGUUAUUCCAUGCAUCUGGUUGGUAUUUCAAGCAUCUCAAGUGCACCAAAUUUGGAGAUUCUAAUUCUAAAAGGUUGUACAAGGUUACUUACUUGUUUCACCCAUGCUUAAUGUUAUUAUUAGUCAUGAGCUAACUGUUUUCUUGAAUAUAAUAGGAUGCAAGAGACUUGAGAGUCUUCCAAGGAACUUUCAUAAGCUGGAAUGCCUUCAAACACUCUCUUGUGAUGGCUGUUCAAACUUAAAAAGUUUUCCGAAGAUCGAGGAAGAAAUGAGAAGUCUAAGAAAGCUUCAUUUAAGUCAUACAGGUAUAAUGGAAUUACCAUCAUCAAUUAGCAAUCUAAAUGGGCUUGAAAAGUUGGACUUAGGUUAUUGCAAAAACCUUUUGAGUCUUCCGGACAGUAUUUUUAGUUUGAGUUCUCUUCAAACUCUGAAUCUAUUUGAGUGUUCAAAACUAGUGGGCUUUCCGGGUAUCAAUAUUGGAAGUCUAAAAGCUCUUGAAUAUUUGGAUUUGUCAUAUUGUGAGAACAUUGAGAGUCUUCCGAACAAUAUUGGUAGUUUUAGCUCUCUUCAUACUCUUUCAUUGAUGGGGUGUUCAAAACUGAAGGGCUUUCCAGAUAUCAAUAUUGGUAGUUUUAGCUCUCUUCAUACUCUUUCAUUGAUGGGGUGUUCAAAACUGAAGGGCUUUCCAGAUAUCAAUAUUGGAAGUCUAAAAGCUCUUCAAUUGUUAGAUUUCUCACGUUGCAGAAACCUUGAGAGUCUUCCGAACAAUAUUGGUAGUUUGAGCUCUCUUCAUACUCUUUUAUUGGUAGGGUGUUCAAAAUUGAAGGGCUUUCCAGAUAUCAAUUUUGGAAGUCUAAAAGCUCUUCAAUUGUUAGAUUUCUCACGUUGCAGAAACCUUGAGAGUCUUCCCAUGAGCAUUUACAAUUUGAGCUCUCUCAAAACAUUGAGGAUUACAAAUUGUCCAAAACUCGAGGAAAUGUUAGAGAUUGAAUUAGGGGUUGAUUGGCCACUUCCACCUACAACCAGUCACAUUUCAAAUUCAGCAAUAAUCUGGUAUGAUGGCUGCUUUUCCUCAUUAGAAGCAUUAAAACAAAAGUGCCCCCUGUCAUCACUGGUAGAAUUAUCUGUAAGAAAGUUUUAUGGCAUGGAAAAAGACAUCCUCAGUGGCAGUUUCCACCUAUCCUCAUUGAAAAUAUUAUCUCUAGGGAACUUCCCUAGCAUGGCAGGAGGAAUCCUCGAUAAGAUUUUCCAUCUAUCUUCAUUGGUAAAAUUAUCUCUUACUAAAUGCAAGCCAACGGAAGAAGGAAUCCCCAGUGAUAUUCGGAACCUAUCUCCACUGCAACAAUUAUCUCUACAUGACUGCAAUCUAAUGGAAGGAAAGAUCCUCAAUCAUAUUUGCCAUCUAACAUCCUUGGAAGAAUUACAUCUGGGUUGGAACCAUUUUAGUAGCAUUCCUGCUGGCAUCAGUCGACUUUCCAAUCUAAAAGCCCUUGACUUGAGUCACUGCAAGAACCUUCAACAAAUUCCAGAGCUUCCAUCAAGUCUACGAUUUUUAGAUGCGCACUGUUCGGAUCGUAUUUCAUCAAGCCCCUCGCUUCUACCUAUUCAUUCUAUGGUCAAUUGCUUCAAAUCAGAAAUUGAGGUAUGAUUCUCAUGCCACGUUCCUUUUUCUUUCGUACCCAUUGGAUUUACAUGGUGCUUUUGUGCAGGACUGCGUGGUUAUUCAUCGUUAUUCUUCCUUCUGGGGCAAUGGAAUUGGUAUUGUUAUUCCUAGAAGUAGUGGAAUUCUAGAGUGGAUAACGUAUCGGAAUAUGGGAGGGCAUAAAGUAACAAUAGAGCUCCCUCCGAAUUGGUAUGAAAAUGAUGACUUGUGGGGAUUUGCUUUAUGCUGUGUUUAUGUUGCACCUGCCUGUGAAUCUGAGGAUGAAUCUCAGUAUGAAUCAGGUCUUAUAUCUGAGGAUGACAGUGACCUUGAAGAUGAAGAAGCAAGCUUUUAUUGUGAAUUGACAAUCGAAGGAAAUAAUCAAUCAGAAGACGUGGCUGGUUUCGUUCUUGAUUUUCGCUGUGUUAAGGAUGAUGUAUCAGAUAUGCAGUGGGUGAUAUGUUAUCCCAAGUUAGCUAUUGAGAAAAGUUAUCACACCAAUCAAUGGACACACUUCAAGGCUUCAUUUGGUGGGGCCCAAGUGGCAGAGUGCGGAAUCCGUCUGGUAUACACAAAAGAUUAUGAACAGAAACAUCCAACAAUGGCACAAGGCAGUACUUCUCAUGGGAAUUUUGGUGAGCAUGGAUCAGUAAGAGAAGAUGGCAGUACUUCUCAUGGGAAGUUUGGUGACCAUAGAUUAGUAAGAGAAGCUUUACUACUCUAAAGAUACUAAUAGUAAAGAUCACAAUAAAAGGAAUCCCACAGAACAGAGCCCAGGAGAGGAGUCACGUACACCAUAAAAGAUUCAGAGAAACCCAAGACUGAUCCCAAGCAUUAGGCUCAACCACACUUGCAUCAAUAAUGUUCUCUUCCUGGUAAUUCAUCUUCUUUUCUCUUUCAAAUUCAAAGGUCAGAAAUUUUUUUAUCAUGUUUCUCCUUUUUAUUUGUUUUUUCCCCAAGACAAACAAAAAUUUGUGGCUAUCAUCCAUGGGUGCAAACUUCAAUGGUACACCUCCCAAGUUUGUUUUUCUCUCUCUCCAACCGUCUCUCCCUAGAUUUUUCUGCAUUUUCUUCAAACUCAUAUUUCUAUAUGAAAUUCAAUUACAUUCGAGCAUUUCAAUCUCUGUAGCUAAUGUCUGAAUCAUUUCUAGGGUUUCUUUUUUCUGGAAGUUUGUAAUGUUAUUGAUUUAUGACUUGAUGUUUGGGGAUGUUUUGGGUGGCUUGUUCACUUUUUUAUAGCGAUGAUUUAUGGAACCAGAGUUUCUUAGCAGGAAAUGGAACUCGUGUGUUUUAGAAUAUUGGCGUUAUUUGCUUGUGCCCUGUUUGGUUGCUGAGAAAGAGUGGAAGGAGGAUGGAGAAUUAAAUAAUUUUCAAUCUAAGCAAUGAGAAAUUAGAUUUGGGUAUUUGGGCCAUUGGAGUUAUUUGCUCUUACUCAGUUUGGUUUCCAGGAAACUGCAGGCAAAGCAUGGAAAAUAAAGUAUUUUUAAAUUAAUUACCAGGAAAUGGAAUGUACGUAUUUGUCUCUUUGGAAUAUAAACAUCAGUAUUCACUCUUCAAGAAUGUAUAUGGUUGUUGUUUUGGAAUUUUGAAAUUACUUAGCAUCAGACAAUUUCUAACUUGGGAUUUGGAUUGGGAAUCAUAAGUAAUCAUUAGAGAGUAUAUGAGAAGGAGUUUUAGAGUAAGACAGGGUGAUGCAUGUUGAGGGAUGCGUCUCACCCUGGAGUUCUUUGGAAUAAUUAUAGGAUUUUGUAAGUAACUUUGGACUUAUUAGCAAUGUUCUGGAUUUGUGAAUAAUUUAUAGAAUACAUUGGGUGUUUUUUUUUUUUUUUUUUUUUGAGAGUGAAUAAUGUAUGACUGUACUCUUCUCUAUCUCUGUGGUAUGGCACACGUAUGAUUUGGUGCUUUUUUGCAGGCCUUCAACAGCAGCAAAGCAUCUGGUGGCUUGCAGUACUAAUCUUGCAUUAUAUUCUCUGUUUUGCAAUCAUUUGGUACUGUUUGUCCCAACCAAGGAUAGCUCUGUGCAAGCAGUCUCGACUGUGGAACAAGUAAAACAAAUGGUACCUGCUGAAGCUGAGAGGGCAGAUGAUAAGCUGGUGCGGAAGGUGGUCAACCAAAAGAAUCAGACAGCAAAAACUAAAAAGCCCAUCAAGCCUGCUACUGAAGCAGCCUCAGCACCUGUUUCUGGGAGGGGUGAGAUUGAAGUGACUGAAGAAAAGGAGCAUGAGCAAACAAAGAAGGAAGAGGAGUUGGCCAGGAAGGUAGAGGAAUUGAGAAGUGAAGAAGAAGCAGCCAUGUUGAAGGAGAGAAAGCCAACGUUAAGGAGGCACUGGAAAGGAAACAAGGAACUGCAGAAAAGGCCAAUUUCUCUGUGAGUGCUGCCACCUUUUCAUAAUAAUGGAUGUUAAAAGCAGUCUAACUCUACAUGGCGUUUAUUUUCCCCAGCCAUGGAUUGGAAUCUGCCAGUCUAACUCUCAUAAGAAACAAAAUUUUCCAUCCUCAUAUGGAUUAUUGGAGAAGAUUUUAACAUGGAGUUCACUAGAGAGUUUCUAACACCCACUCAAAAAGGACAUUUUAGAGAACUUAUUGAAAAGUUACAUCAGAGUACAUAAAUUUUUAGAUAUUUUUAAAAAUAUCUGAAAAAUUAAAUUAACUAAAAGUAUUUGAAAAAUAUUUGAUUGAAUUAAUAAAUAACUAGUAUUUGCAUAUGAAAAAAUAGUAAACAUAGUCAAUAAUUUUUUUUUUAAUAAUUAGCACAUAAUAAUCAUAAAUUAAUUUAUGGCAAGACCUCAUAUUUGUUGUGGUGACUGUGUUGUCUUACCAUUCUUCUUUCAUGAUGGGCUUAAAUUUUAAUUUAAAUGUAGUAUAAAUAUAUAAUUAGAUUGAUAUUUCGUCCACUAGAAUUGAUUGGGUCUGAAUUUGAACCCUGGUCUUGAAUUUCUUGGCCCAACCAACGAAAUCAUUGACCAACGGCCCUUAGUUUGGGCUGGGCUUGAUGGUCCUCAGGUUAUGCAGGCUUAAUACUGAUUGGGUUUGGGCUUCCAUGCAGUUGUACUUGGAUUCUAUGUUUCCUAAUAUUAACACUAAAAUUAGGUUUAAUUUAUUAACACUAAAUUAGGUUUCAUUUAUAAUUAAAUAUAAUUAGUUUGAGAAUAACUCCAAUCUUUAGUUAAACCAACUAAGUUUUAUGCAAAGGUUUAUAUUCCUAAUACCAUUGAAAAACUAAAUUUAUGUGGAAGUUUGACUGAUACCAACAUUAAAUUAUUAAGAUAAAUUGAAAAAAAAAAAAUCAUGCUCGUAUGUCCUGUUGUUUGUCAUAAGAAAAUUUCUUUUCAGAUUUUUUUUUUCUUUUAAUACAUCUUUACAUUUUUAAUAACAAUCCAUAGGAUUGUUCCCAAACAUAUAUCAUAUAAAUAUAUCUUUUUUGGAUUUUUAAGAAUGUUGUCAAACAAACUCAUAAUACCAUUCUUUCUUUACAAUUACCAAUCCAUAUGAUGAAUUUAUUCCUUUCAAUAACUGACAUCAUCUAAUAAAAAUUAUAAUUAGGUAUUAUAUUUAAAAAGUGUUUAAUAAAUCAAUUUAAUAACUUAAGUGAUUUAAUAACUUAAUUUAAAUUAUUAAAAUAAUUUGAUGUCACAAUUUAAAGUUAAAAUUGAUUUAAUUAAUUUUUAUUUAAAUUUAAAACUAUGUUUACAAAAAAGGCUUAAAAUUCAUAUCAAUUAAGAAAUUAAGUUAUUAAGUUACUUUAAGUCAUUAAAUUAAUCUACCAAUUAAACACCCUUUAAGAUAUGAUAUAAAGUUCACCUCCUACAUAUCAUGAAAAUUAAAAAUUAAUUACCACAUCAAGAAUCUUUAGUUCCUAAUCGAUUUAAUAUUUAAUCCUUGGUUGUGAAUUUCUUUAUAUAUGUAGAUAUAUUUUUAUAUUGCAAGUGGGCUGCCGACUUUUCAUUUUAUACUAGUUUUGAAAAUAAGAUUGUAGUUUUUAUUUUGUCCAAAUCUAAUUUGGAGGGAGAAUCUUUAGAGGCUAUUUUAUAUUCAAAUAGGAAAAUUUUAAAUUUAAUAGUCCCACCUUAUAAAGGCAAAUAUCUUGGACCCUACAUGGGUGCCUCUUACAUGCAUGCACGAGGACAAAGACUUAUUGAAAGCCUCUCUCAUUCACAUGGAUGCCAUCAUUCAUCGAAGUUGAAACAUGAAACCCACACAAAAUAUUUGGGCAAAAGCAACUUCAAUAUUUUUUUUCAUUACUAUAGCUGAGAAUCUCAAUAUUAUUAAAUAGUAAUAAAAUUAAUUUUAAUAUUUUUUUUCUUAUUUUUUCCUCCUUGUGGUUAUAUUUUCAUCCGGAAAGUAUUAAAUAUUAAAAAAGAAUAAAAUUUAAAAAUUAAUUUUUCAUAUUUAAUUAUAUUGUGAAAAAUAUAAAAUAAAAUAUAAUAUAAUUAAAAUUAGUUAAAAUUUUAUAUUUUUAUAAAAUUAUUUAACUUUUUUAUAAAAAUUUAAAAUAAGUGACAUGAGUUUGAAAUAGUAUACAUAUUGACUUUAAAUUUAAUUUUUAUAUUUUUCAUUUUUCUUUUUAACUAUUCUUCUUUCUUCUCUUUCUCUCAACUUUUCCUUCAAAUUUUCCAAUAACCAAACAUAACCUAUUUGUUUCAUAAAAACUCUUUUACCUUUUUAAAUUUUUAAAAGAGUUGCUUACAUAAUAUGGAGCUAAUAGUAUUACUUGUACCUAUUAAUUUCUUUUAAGAUUAAAUUGUUCUAACUUUGUGUGAUAAAAAGUUUGUAAAGUCCAAUUUUACGAAAGAAAAUAUAUGAUUAGUGACUCCCUUGCAUUUCCUUUGGGAUUCACCCCUUCAUACUUACCGUAAAUAGUUGUACCAAUUAAUCAAACAAAAAACAUAGCAUGUAAAUAGUAAUAUGUUAAAGUUUUCUAUCGUGCCUAAGUUUAAUUAGUUCUACUUAUUUAUAUAUUGAAAUGAAAGUAAGCAUAUAUUUAAGUGGUCCAUCAAAUUUGAAACUAAUCUAUUGUAAUUACAUUCAUGUCUAUAUCAUUUAUAUUGUACAUAACUUGAGUACAUUAAAAAUUGUACAAAAAAUCCAAAUUACAAGGAAGUUUAUAUAAACUCUCUUAGGAUUAGACACUGUUAGUCAUUGCCUUCUAAAAAGCUUUCAUCUCUUUCUCCCUCAAGAGGUUUGUAGUCACUUUACACAAGUGUCAAAACUCAAAAGAGUGAUCUAAUGAAGAUGACGAGGUGAUUGAGAUCCUUUUCAUAAACUGGAGUUUGAUAUGGGAACAUUCAUAUCGAAGGUAAAAAUUUUUAUCAGCAACUAGACUUACUUUUAUCUUUCCUUAUAAUUAAACCCAAUAAUCCUAGGUUGUUAGAGACCACACACCUAUGAUCCAAGGGUUUUCCCAACAAGGAUAUCAAUAAAUCUUUCUACUCUAUUGAUGGCAUCUUGAAUUCUUUCAAAUUAAUCACUUCAUUGUAAUCGUUAUUCACUAAAUCCCAUAAAUCUUGAGAUCUAAACAUGACAUUCAUAUGAAUGCAUCAAUUAUUAUAAUUCUUACUUAUGAAUUUUGAAAGUUGAGAUUCAAUUGAGUUAUUAUUUACCAUCAUUACUUUAACAACCAAAUUGCAAAUUUCUUUAUACUAUUCACAUUCUCUGGCAGCCUUUGACCUUCCCUAAUCUUUAGCCUCUAGCUAAUACCACUUGUUUGAGCUCCCAUAAUUGGGCAGCAUUGACAAUAAUUUACUAAAAUAACAUUUUAUUCUAUCCUACUCUCUCUUUGUCAACAUAAUAAUAAACCUCUAUUUAAAAUAAGUUGAUCAUAUUUGCAUUAUCACUCUAAUUCAUAAUUAGAUUGGGAAACCUAAUUAAUAUCAAAUAAAUAACCAUUCCUAAUAUUUCUCAAAUUUAUAAAAUUCUUCUAAUUUGACUUUAAAUUGAUUUUUUAUUUUGACUAUAUAGCUUAAAAAGGAUAAUUUUUUAAAUAAUUAUCAAUUUCAUAUAAUCUUUAUAAGCAUUUGUGUUCAUAAAUUCCUUAUUAUGAUAUUAGGUUUUAGACAAUUUGACAAUAUGAUGAUGUUUUGGAAUGAAUGUUAAGUGAAUCCGUUUUACUCAAAACCAUUAAAUAAAAAAAAAAGACAGUUACACAAGUAAAAUAGUAGAUUAUUGAAGGCCAGGAGAAAAGAAGAGGAAAAUGAAAUAUUAUAUCCCUAUAAUGAGUUAGGUGGAUAUUUCAUGUGAAAAGUUUAAUGUGCAAGGUUGUUCAUGUCUAUUGAGUUUUGGGUAAUCAUUUUUUCAUGGAAAUUUUUUAUGGAAUCCUAAUCUUAGAAAGCAAUAGGAAAUUUUUUUACCAAGAUUUCUAAGAAAUAACUACAUCAAAGUGUAAGAAAAGUAUCAAACUAGAAUAUCUAAGAAAUUACUACAUCAAAGUGUAAUAGAAACAUCAAAUUAGAAAGUGAAAUAUAAUACAAUUCAACUAUGAAAAUGAAGGACAAAGGAAUAGACUAAUUGCCAAAGGAAAAUAGUCUUUUAGUUUUAAUCAGAAAUUUCUUAUAUCAUAAUUAUGACCUGUAGAGGCCACAUGGGUUGUUGGCCUUGGAGUGACUAAAAGGUACAACUAAAAAACGUCAAACAUUUGGAGAACUAAAAGAAAACAUGGAUAAAAUUUUUUUACCUAGAACAUUUAUAUAGAAAUAUUUUAUUUUUUAUUUUUAAAAAAUUAGUAAAGGUAGUAAAGUUUUUUAAAGAUUAUUUUGCGCCCUAAAAACAAAUCGUAAAGGCUUGUUAAAGAUUAUUUUGGAUAUGUUUCAUGCAUUAAUUUUUUUUAACAUUUCAAAUUUUUAAAUGAUUUUUAAAAGUUAUUACCUUUUAAAAUGUAAAUCUCAUAGAGUAUUUGCAUUAUAUAGGAAUUACUAUCAUUUUUAUUUUUUUUAAAAAAGAGAAAUGUAUUCAAAUAAUACCUUAAUUUUUCAUUUUCUAGUAUAAGGAAAUGAUUAUAUCUCACACAAACCUUGUUCAGAUACAUAUUUCAAAGUGAGAAAAAAAAAAUUCUUUUAGAGAAAAGAAGUCCUUCAAAAAGAAGAAAAAAAAAGGUUUUUCAAAGAAGAGUUAGAAGGAAAAGUGAAUUCAAUCUUAUAAUCAGCUAACAUGAUGUUGUUUGAUUACAUUUUUUAUUUUCUAUUUUUACAAAUAAAAUAUAAUAAUAACUCCUAUAUGAAAUAUAGAACUCUUUCAAACUUACUUUAAAAACAUAAUAAUAUUUAAAAAUUAAGAUAAAUUGUGAUAUUAAAAAAAAAAUUACUUCUUCAAAUUUUAAAAAUUAUGAAAAUAAAUUUUUAAUGACAUAAGAUAAGUCUAUAAAUUUUACAUAAAAGUUAUUAUAUUUUAUAUAGAAACUAUUACUAUUUUCUAUUUGUAAAAAUACAAAAUAAAAAAUAUAUCCAAGCAAGUACUAUGAGAAAUAGUUUCUAACAUUUCUUAUUAAGAAAAUGAGAAUAUUAAGAAGUAUAUUCCUACUACAUUGUUUUUUUUUUUAAUUUGAUAUCAACCCAUUCUAUUAGCUCUUUUGAGAAAUAUAGAAAAAUAACAUUACAUAAUUGCAUAGAACAAGAAUAUUAUUUAAGUUUGAGGCAAGUGUUAAAAAGAUAUUGUAAUUCUGUUACGUUGUUUAACUUCAAUGUCCUAUAUGUAACUGUUAGGAAUUUGAGGCUAAUCCAAACUAUAGUAAUCACCCUAGAGGGAGGGGGGGGGGGGGGGUAAAUAGGGUGAUGAUCUCUUUUUCACAAAUCUAAACUAUGCAAAAAUAAGAGACAAUUAUAUGUAAAUAUAUAAUAAACACAAUUACAUAUAAUUUAAAAAAUUUGGGAAAAAAAAGUGCAAAACCGAAAACUUAUAAUGGGUCGACACUUCCUUGGCCACCUUCCCUCUCCUUAAACCCCUAAACGAAUGAGGGUUCCCCUAUUUUGAAGCUUCCACCAAGCUUCCAAACCCUUUACAAAUGGAUUAAGGUUUCCAAUCCCCCUUUUGNNNNNNNNNNNNNNNNNNNNNNNNNNNNNNNNNNNNNNNNNNNNNNNNNNNNNNNNNNNNNNNNNNNNNNNNNNNNNNNNNNNNNNNNNNNNNNNNNNNNAGAGAGUGCAAACACGAGAGCUUAUAGUGGUUCGACACUUCCUUGCCUACGUCCACUCUCCUCAACCUCCUAACCGAGUGAGGGUUCCACUAUCUUGAAGCUUCAACCAAGCUUCCAAUCUCUUUACAAUUGGAUUAUGGUUCCAAUUCACCCUUUUGGACUUUUGGCUCCAAGCACCCUUUACACUUCUCAAAAGUUAUCCCACUCUUGAACAACCUCUCAAGUGAUACCCCUCACUUGAGAAAAUUCCUCUCAAAGAUAUACAAAGAUUGAUCUCACAAAAAUUGUAGUAAUAGAACUUUAAGCUCAAAUGAUACAAGAGAAACUAGGAUUGAAUGGUGCACUAAAGAUAUGCAAGUUUUGGAAUAAUGGUGCACUCAAAAAUACUCUUCCAAGGCUCAAAUAUAAUCAAGAAAGAUUUGGGAAGGUUUAGCUUAUCAAACAACGAAGUUUGGAGCCUUUUUAUAGAAGAAAAAAGUCAUACUAGCCGUUGGGGGUUUGAUCGGUCGAGCUAAGGGUCGACUGGUUGACUAACCAUUAGGAAAAGUGACUGUUGAGCCUCAACCGGACCUCAACCGGUUGAGGUUCAACCUUGACCGGGAAGAGAAGGCCACUAGGAGAGAGAGAAAGUUUUUGGCCUCCCUCAACCGGUCCUCGACCGGACGAGCACAACCAAUCGACCAGUUGAACCGGUUGAGCCAUUUUUUUGGCUCAACACUCAACAUUUUUCAACUUAAAACCUUUUAACACAAAUUUGAAAAUCAUUUAACACAAGGUUUUAGUUGAAAACAUUAAAUCAUCCAAUUCUUAAGAUAUUUAAAACAAUAUUACUCUUGGAUAAUUUUGGUGCAUAAAUAAAUAAUGAAAUGCAUGAAAGUCCUAGUGCACCAACAACCUUACAAAGAGAUCCUAAGAAGCUUUGGUCUUGAAAAACUCUUCUCUUUGAGGUGGUCUUCUUUUUCAUGAUUUCUCCUUGACUUGAUUUGUCUUUGGAUUGCCACUUUGGAAGUCGUCUUGCCUAAUCACACUUGAAAUAUGAUCAUUAGUUCUAAACCUUGUUUUGUUAUCAUCAAAAUCAAGAUUAACCAAACCUUGGUUUCACAGUAACGACUUGUUCCCAACCAUAUAGAUAUUGUCCGCUUUGGACCCAAAUGGGCCCUCACGGUUUUUAAAACUCGUCUACUUGGUUAAGAGGAACUUCUACAUAUAUAGCGUCAGACUUUCCCCCCUAUCCGAUGUGGGAUGUCACAAACACCCCCCUCCCCCCCUCCAUGUAGACACAACGUCCUCGUUGUGUCCCAUGGGAUUGUAGGGUUAAAUAGACAAACACCCCUUAUGAGGUCAAACAAACCCCAACACCGGGGUCGGGGAUCGACUCUGAUACCAUUUAUCAGAAUCCGUACUCAAUUAUAUAUAUAUUGUCCGCUUUGGACCCAAAAGGGCCCUCACGACUUUAAAACGCGUAUACUUGGUUAAGAGGAGUCUCUACACAUAUAGCACCAAGAACUUUUCCCCCUAUCCAAUAUGGGAUGUCACACUAUAUAUGUGUAACAAUUUUUCUUUAAAAAAAUUAGAGGACUUAAAAUGGGCUCUUGUCAACCUUAUUGAUAUUUGAUGUCAAAGGGAUACAACCAACCACCACAAAUAAUUGAGAGAAAAGAAAGGAAAUAAUAAUAAGAGGUAGGCCCCGGGCUCUUGUGAACCUUAUUGAUAUUUGAUACCAAAGGGAUACAACCAACUCCCACAUUUAAUUAAGAGAAAAGAUUGGGAUAUCCUCACCACCAUGUCUAGAUUGCUUUAGUAGGACCAAGAGAAGUCAUUCAGCAUCCAAAGAUCCUCUUCUUCUUCUUCUUCUUUUAAUUCUAAAUGGAGGGACAAUGUGUUCUUGAGUUUCAAAGGUGAAAAUACUCACAAAAGCUUUACUAAUCAUUUCUACUGUAUAUCUUUACUUGUAAUAAAUGUAUAAGAUAUUUGUAUUAACUGUAUAAAACAUGUACAGACCUGUAUAUCUUGAAUUUAUUAAUAUGUUUUUCUUCAUUUUCUUUGUUUUCCAUACCAAAAUACUAAAAAAAUUAUUUACAUAAUUUUUUCUUUUCACAUUUUCAUAUGUAUACAAGACACUUAUACUAAAUGUACAAGAUAUUUUCAUAUUUUGACUAAUGCCUAUACAAAUAUGCAAAUAUAUUGACAAUAGGCAAACUCAUACUAGUCUUGUAUAGUUAUGACAAAUGUCUUAUACAUUUAGGGUGUGUAUACAAUGUUUUCUAAUUCUUUGUAUAGUUAAUACAAAUGUCAUAUAUAUUUUUGAAAAUGUAAAAAAAAAAAAAAGAAGUUAUAUUUGACAUUUACACAUUAUAUAUAAACAAUAUUUCAAUUUAAUAUGGAAAAUGAAAAAAAUGCAAAUAGAUAUAUGUGAAGGGUAAAAAGAGUAUUUUUGUUCGUAAAAUUUCAUGUACUUAAACAUGAAGUAUGCAUCUUUUCACAGAUGUUGGCCAAAUUAUGAACCUCAAACACAAUUGUUUUAAAGAGAAAUGUGAAGAAAAAGAAUAUGAAUGGUAGUUGUAAGAAAAUUAAAAAAUAAAAUCAUUGACUCUUCACUCUACCAAACUAGGGAUGACAACGAGGCGAGUUUGGGAUGGGGCCUCGUUCCGUUUAACUUUUUUUUUUAAUUACUUAAAAUUUUUUUAAUUAUAUUAAAAUAAAUAUAUUUUAUAAAUAAUUAAAUUAUUAUAUUUUUAUAACUUAUUUUAUUAAAAAAUAUUUUUUUUAUUAUUUAUAUAUUAAAAAUAGUAAAAUUAAAAUUAAAAUUAAUUUAAUUUUAAAAAUUAAUUUUAUAUAUAAUAGGGGUGGAGCAAGAUAAGGCAAUAGCUGAAUCUGUCCUGGGUUUUAAAAAGAUUCCCAAACCUGUCCAAAACUCAUUUAGUUAAAAUUGAAACUCAUCCAAUUACGAGCGGGUAUCCGAAAAAACUUGUCCUAUUGUCAUCCCUAUACCCAACCACACUAUCAUCCAAUGAAUAAAACGAAAAUAACUAAAAUUAAGGAACAACCCAAGAAUCAAUGACUUCCUAGCAAGCCCAUCCAUAUCCCAACACGGACAAAAAUAUUUUAAUUUUUUUGCCUUAAAAAUCACGCAUGAAGCUUCCUAGAAAUUUCAUACUUCUUUGUCAUUAUCUAUAUUUUCUACUUCUUUUUCAUCGUCAAUAUUUGUGUAUAUAUAUAAAAUAAAACUUGCAAGAAAAUACAAAAAUGAUAGAUGGCAAAAUGGUUUUUAUGUUAAGAAGGUUCUAAAUUUUUCACACCUUUACAGUAUAAAAAAAAAAAAAAAAAAAAACUUUUUAAAUACAGAACUAUUUCGGACUUGAAUCAUUUUGAAAUUCAGAGACUUGAAAAGUGUUUGUUGGACUUGAAGGAGUUUGGAGUUAAUCUUGAACUUAGAUAUGUUUAGAAAUCAAAGUGGAUUUGAAGAAGAUUGAAAUCCACGACAUGACAACACUGUAAUAUGAAUAGUGUUUUGUCAAAAAAAAUUACUAUUUACUAUUUACUAGGGCAUAAAAGAAAAAUACAAAAUAAUACUCUAAAAAUGCGAAGGAAAGAUUGUUGGUCGUUGAAUAAGGGGAAAAAAAAGAAGAAAAGUAAAAUGUGAAAAAAAAAAGCUUCAAGAGUGCAAUUAAUAAUUGUGGUAGGCCCUGACUUUUGUCUUGUGAACCCGCCUAUUAUUGAAUGGAAAAGGGAUAUAGCCAACCAAAAUAAUUGAGAGUAAAGAAAGGAACACCUCACCACUAUGCUCCAAAUUGAGAGAAAAACAAAGUCAGCCGGCAUCCAAGGACAUUUUUAUUAAAAAAGUAAAGAAAAGAAAUGGUGCUUUAGCUAUUAUCAUAUCAACUCCUAGGAAAUAAAUGAAAAGAACAAGUAAAUGAAAAGAAACAAAAAAAAAAGUUCUUAGAAUGCAAAAAGAAGAUAUUGGAUAUUGAAUGCCCAAAAGAGAAAAAAAUAAAAUGGUAAGAUGUAAAGAAAAGAGUCAGAAAAGCUUCACAAUUGCAAUUAAUAAUUGAGGUACGACUUGGACUUUUGUGAACCCUCACUGUUAAUGCUAAAGGGUUACAGCUAAGGAAAGGAUAAAUGGGAGAGAAGAACAGGACAUCCUCACCACCAUCGUCUUAGCAUCAAAGACCCUCUUUUUUCUUCUUCCAAAUUCUGUUCUUGUAAUUUUGUUACAAUCCAACCAUGGCUUCCUCUAGCAAUUCUAAGAGACCCUUUUGUUCUUCUUCUUCUUCUAAUUCUAAAUGGAGGUACGAUGUGUUCUUGAGUUUCAGAGGCGAGGAUACCCGCAACAACUUUACUAGUCAUCUCUACAAGGAUUUGGAUAAGGCCAACAUUAAAACCUUUAAAGAUGAUGAAGAACUUCGAAAGGGAGGAGAGAUUGCACCCGAGCUCCUAAAAGCUAUUGAAGAAUCAAGGAUCGCCAUUAUCGUCUUCUCGAAAACCUAUGCUCAUUCCAAGUGGUGCUUGGAUGAACUCGUCAAGAUCAUGGAGUGCCAGAAAGAAAAGGGACAAAUAGUUUAUCCCGUUUUCUAUCACGUACGGCCGUGUGAAGUCAGGAACCAGUAUGGGACUUAUGGAGAAGAAUUUAAGAAACACGAGAGCAAUGCGGACGAGGAGAAGAAGAAGAAAAUAGGGGAGUGGAGGACUGCCUUAAGGAAAGCCGGUGAUUUGAGUGGAUUUAGUCUGCGGGAUAGGUAAUCCCUACUUCACUUUUUCCAUUUCCAAUUUUCUGUCAGUUUAUUUUCAUUCUUGUUAGUAAAUAAAAUAUUUAUGAUUACAUAUAUCAAUCAAAAUCCAGUUUUUAAGUAGUAGACAUUAAUAUGUUUGAUUUCUUGGAAAGUAAUAAGAAGAGUUAAAAAUAAAUAAAAAUAAAAAUUUAAAAAAUUUGAUUUUCUUAUAUUUAAUGUAUUAUUAAAAAAUAUGAAAGAAAAUAAAAAUAUAAUUAAAAUACAUUGUAAAAAUAUAUAUAAUUAGUUUAUAAUUAAAAUAAUCUUAGAAAAUCUAUAGUAGUUGUUCUGGGCUCAUUCAGGCCCAACAGGUAAUCCCUAUUUCACUUUUUCCAUUACCAAUUUUCUGUCGGUUUAUUUUCAUUCUUGUUAAUAAAUAAAAUAUUUAUGAUUACAUUUAUCAAUCAAAAUCCAUUUUUAAGUAGUAGACAUUAAUAUGUUUGAUUUCUUGGAAAGUAAUAAGAAAGAGUAAAAAAAAAAAUUGACUUUCUCACAUUUAAUUUAUUAUUAAAAUUAUAAAAGGAAAUCAAAUAUAAUUAAAAUAUAUCGAAAAAAAAAAUAUUUGCCUACAAUUGGGAUAAUAUUAGAAAAUCUAUAGUAGGUGUUGUGGGCUCAUUCAGGCCCAGGUAAUACUGGUAAAAAAAUAAAAUAAAAUAAUUAUGCCAAAUGCCAAGUUUUGAAUUGUUAAAAAUCUUUAAGAUUCCAAAAUAUUCUUCCUUUCUAAUCAAUCCAUCUCAGCCAUAAUUUCUAUCAAUUAAAUUGUUCAAAUUGGUUAUUUAUAUGCUUUGUAAAUUUGGAGAUAAUCUGAGAUGAUUAUUUAAAAUAUUGUAAUACUACCCUAAAUUUUUUUGGACCCUCUUAUGGGACAAAAAACUUAGUUAUUGCACCCUUAACCUUUUUCAAUUUUAGAGGAAUUUUCUAUUACUAAAAUAAUUUUCUCAUGUUCUCUGUGCACUACAUGAGUUUACAUUUCUUCUUUACUUAAUAUUGUUUGUUCCUCUAUAUUUGCAAGUUGAUUAUUAAAUUUAUUUACCUUUUAAUCUAAUGUUUGUAUCUCGUUUUAUUCUAAUUAUCCCAUGACAUCUGGAUAAUCUCUUCUUAAGACCUUGACAUGACAUAAUGAAAUUUUAUUUAAACAUGCAAUUCAACACAUUUUUAAUUUACAUUCUAUUUGACCUUAAUUUAAUUGCACCGAACUAAAGAUCAUUCUAUAAUUUCCAUUUACUUCAUCUUUGUUUUCUUUGACAAUUGAUUGUAGCUUACUCCAUGUUUUAUUGUACUUUAUAAUGGACAGAUCUGAGGCAGAGUUUAUUGAAGAAAUCAUUGGUGAGAUUCGAAGAUUAAUUCCUAAGUGGGUACAUGUUGGUGAGAAUAUUGUUGGAAUGGAUGAAAAUUUGAAAAAAGUGAAGUUAUUGAUAGAUGCCCAAUCAAAUAAAGUGAGUAUGGUUGGGAUUUAUGGGACUGGUGGGAUUGGUAAAACUACCAUCGCCAAGGUUGUUUACAAUGAUAUGUUAGAUCAAUUUAAAUGUCACAGCUUUCUUGAAAAUGUGAGAGAGAAAUAUGAAGAUAAAGGUGAUUUGCUUCAAUUACAAAAAGAACUUCUUUGUGAUAUCCUAAUGGAGAAAAAUCUGGUGUUAAGGAAUAUUGAUGAAGGAUUUAAAAAGAUAAAGAGUAAGCGUCACUCUGAAAAGGUUCUUAUUGUUCUUGAUGAUGUAGGUUGUGAAGAACAAUUAAAAUUCUUAGCUCCUAAUUCUGAAUGUUUUCAUCCAGGAAGCAUAAUCAUUGUGACCACGAGAAAUAAGCGUUGCCUAGAUGUAUAUGACUCGUAUUCAUCAUAUGAGGCUAAGAGAAUGGCAGACAAGCAAGCUGAGGAACUCUUUUGUUGGAAUGCCUUCAAGCAAGACCAUCCCAUAGAAAAUUUUGUGGGCCUCUCUAAUCGUAUACUGGAUUAUGCUGACGGCCUUCCAUUGGCUCUUGUAGUUUUGGGUUCUUUUCUCUUUCAAAGGCCUAUGGAUGAAUGGGAAAGCACAUUGGAUGAACUCAAAACAAUCCCUCCCGAGAAUAUUCAAAAGGUACUCCAGAUAAGUUAUGAUGGACUAAGUGAUGAACGCAAGAAGUUGUUUCUUUAUAUUGCAUGCUUCUUCAAAGAUGAGGAUGAAAAAAUGGCAACAAGAAUACUAGAAAGUUGCAAAUUACAUCCCGCUAUUGGACUAAGAGUUCUUCAUGAGAGGUGUCUUAUUUCUAUAGAGGACAACACUAUAAGGAUGCAUGACUUGUUACAAGAAAUGGGUUGGGCAAUUGUUUGCAAUGAUCCAGAACGUCCAGGAAAAUGGAGCAGAUUGUGCGAAUUACAGGAUAUUGAAAGUGUAUUAUCACAAAAUGAGGUAAGAGAAAAAUACAUGAACAUACUUGAGAUCUAAAGACAUAAAAGAUUCAACAAGAUUUAUUUUUAUUAUUAUUAUAGUUUGAGUAUAUUAUCUAUAUAAUUUUAGUGAAUCCCUAUGCAUCUUAUACUGCUCAUUCUCAAUCCUUGUUUUCAGUGGACAAAAAACAUUGAGGGGAUUUUCACAAGUCAGUCUCGCCAUACAGGAAAACAUAUACAACUUACUACUGAAGUUUUCAGAAAUAUGAAUCAACUUAGAUUGCUCAAAGUCGAAUUCAAUCAGAUCGUGCAGCUUUCCCAAGACUUUGAAUUGCCUUGUCAUGAUUUAGUAUAUUUUCAUUGGGAUUACUACCCUUUAGAAUAUUUGCCAUCAAAUUUUCAUACAGACAAUCUUGUUGAACUCAACCUCUGGUGUAGCCGCAUAAAACAUCUUUGGGAAGGAAAUAUGGUAUUGCUAUUAUUUAGUUAUAUUUUUGUUGUAGACUAAUUUUAAAGUCUUUUGAAGUUUACUUCUUGACACAAAUUUUCUUCUGUUACAGCCUGCUAAAAAGUUAAAAGUCAUUGAUCUUAGUUAUUCCAUGCAUCUGGUUGACAUUUCAAGCAUCUCAAGUAUGCCAAAUUUGGAGACUCUAACUCUAAAAGGUUGUACAAGGUUCCUUAAGUGUUUCAUCCAUGCUAAAUGUUAUUAUCAGUCAUGAACUAAUUGUUUUCUUGAAUAUAAUAGGGUGCACGAGACUUAAGAGUCUUCCAAGGAACUUUCCUAAGUUGGAAUGCCUUCAAACACUCUCUUGUUGUGGCUGUUCAAACUUAGAGAGUUUUCCGAAGAUCGAGGAAGAAAUGAGAAGUCUAAGAAAGCUUAAUUUAAGUCAAACAGGUAUAAUGGGAUUACCAUCAUCAAUUAGCAAGCUAAAUGGGCUUAAAGAGUUGGACUUAAGUAGUUGCAAAAAGCUUUCGAGUCUUCCGGACAGUAUUUAUAGUUUGAGCUCUCUUCAAACUCUCAAUCUAUUUGCAUGUUCACGACUAGUGGGCUUUCCGGGUAUCAAUAUUGGAAGUCUAAAAGCUCUUAAAUACUUGGAUUUGUCAUGGUGUGAGAACCUUGAGAGUCUUCCGAAUAGUAUUGGUAGUUUGAGCUCUCUUCAAACUCUUUUAUUGAUAGGGUGUUCAAAACUGAAGGGCUUUCCAGAUAUCAAUUUUGGAAGUCUAAAAGCUCUUGAAUCGUUAGAUUUCUCAGGUUGCAGAAACCUUGAGAGUCUUCCCGUGAGCAUUUACAAUGUAAGCUCUCUCAAAACUUUGGGGAUUACAAAUUGUCCAAAACUCGAGGAAAUGUUAGAGAUGAAACUAGGGGUUGAUCCAUGCCCCUGGCCAUUUUCACCUCUAACCUGUCACAUUUCAAAUUCAGCAAUAAUCUGGGAUGAUCACUGGCAUGACUGCUUUUCCUCAUUAGAAGCAUUAGACUCACAGUGCCCCCUGUCAUCACUGGUAGAAUUAUCUGUAAGAAAGUUUUAUGACAUGGAAGAAGACAUCCCCAUUGGCAGUUCCCACCUAACCUCAUUGGAAAUAUUAUCUCUGGGGAACGUCCCUACAGUAGUAGAAGGAAUCCUCUAUGACAUUUUCCAUCUAUCUUCAUUGGUAAAAUUAUCUCUUACUAAAUGCAAGCCAACAGAAGAAGGAAUCCCCCGUGAUAUUCAGAACCUAUCUCCACUGCAACAAUUAUCUCUACAUGACUGCAAUCUAAUGAAAGGAACGAUCCUCGAUCAUAUUUGCCAUCUAACAUCCUUGGAAGAAUUAUAUCUGGGUUGGAACCAUUUUAGUAGCAUUCCUGCUGGCAUCAGUCGACUUUCCAAUCUAAAAGCCCUUGACUUGAGUCACUGCAAGAAGCUUCAACAAAUUCCAGAGCUUCCAUCUAGUCUACGAUUUUUAGAUGCGCACUGUCCGGAUCGUAUUUCAUCAAGCCCCUUGCUUCUACCUAUUCAUUCUAUGGUCAAUUGCUUCAAAUCAAAAAUUGAGGUAUGAUUCUCAUGCCACGUUCCUUUUUCUUUUGUACCCAUUGGAUUUACAUGGUGCUUUCGUGCAGGGGCGCAAGGUUAUUAAUAGGUAUUCUUCCUUCUAUGGCAAUGGGAUUGGUAUUGUUAUUCCUAGUAGUGGAAUUCUAGAGUGGAUAACGUAUCGGAAUAUGGGAAGGCAAGUAACAAUAGAGCUCCCUCCGAAUUGGUAUAAAAAUGAUGACUUGUGGGGAUUUGCUUUAUGCUGUGUUUAUGUUGCACCUGCCUGUAAAUCUGAGGAUGAAUCUCAGUAUGAAUCAGGUCUUAUAUCUGAGGAUGACAGUGACCUUAAAGAUGAAGAAGCAAGCUUUUAUUGUGAAUUGACAAUCGAAGGAAAUAAUCAAUCAGAAGACGUGGGUCAUUUCUUUCUUCAUUCUCGCUGUAUUAAGGAUGAUGUAUCAGAUAUGCAGUGGGUGAUAUGUUAUCCCAAGUUAGCUAUUGAGAAAAGUUAUCACACCAAUCAAUGGACACACUUCAAGGCUUCAUUUGGUGGUGCCCAAGUGGAAGAGUGCGGAAUCCGUCUUGUAUACAGAAAAGAUUAUGAACAGAAGCAUCCAAGAAUGGCACAAGGCAGUACUUCUCAUGGGAAUUUUGGUGAGCAUGGAUCAGUAAGAGAAGAUACUGAUAGUAAAGCUCACAAUAAAAGGAAUCCCACAGAACAGAGCCCAGGAGAGGAGUCACACCAUAAAAGAUCCAGAGAAACCCAAGACUGAUCUCAAGUAUUAGGCUCAACCACACUUGCAUCACUAAUGCUCUCUUUACUGGUAAUUCAUCUUCCUUUCUCUUUCUAAUUCAAAGGUCAGAAUUUUUUUUUUAUCGUGUUUCUCCUUUUUAUUUGUUUUUUUUUUCCCCAAGACAAACAAAACUUUGAGGCUAUCACCCAUGGGCGCAAACUUCAAUGGUACACCUCCCAAGUUUGUUUUUCUCUCUCUCCAACCGUCUCUCCCUAGAUUUUUCUGCAUUUUCUUCAAACUCAUAUUUCCAUAUGAAAUUCAAUUACAUUCGAGCAUUUCAAUCUCUGUAGCUACUGUCUGAAUCAAUUAUAGGGUUUCUUUUUUCUGGAAGUUUGUAAUGUUAUUGAUUUAAGACUUCAUGUUUGGGGAUGUUUUGGGUGGCUUGUUCACUGGUAUUACUUGUGAUAAUUGCAGCUCUGGUGCUUUCAAUGACUGACAAUAGUUGAAACUAUGUUGAAUGCUUGUACUAAGGGAAUGGACUUCAGCUGCUCCAGGGUUAGUGCUAUAACAUCAGUAUUCACUCUUCAAGAAUGUAUAUAGUUGUUGUUUUGGAAUUUUGAAAUUACUUAGCAUCAGACAAUUUCUAACUCGGGAUUUGGAUUGGGAACCAUAAGUUAUCUCACCCUAGUGUUCUUUGGAAUAAUUAUAGGAUUUUGUAAGUAACUUUGGACUUGUUAGCAAUGUUCUGGAUUUGUGAAUAAUUUAUAGAAUACAUUGGGUGUUUUUUUUUUUUGGUCCAUCAAAAACUUCAAGAACUUUGAGGGUGAAUAAUGUAUGACUGUACUCUUCUCUAUCUCUGUGGUCAUAGCACACGUAUGAUUUGGUGCUUUUUUGCAGGCCUUCAACAGCAGCAAAGCAUCUGGUGGCUUGCAGUACUAAUCUUGCAUUAUAUUCUCUGUUUUGCAAUCAUUUGGUACUUUUUGUCCCAACCAAGGAUAGCUCUGUGCAAGCAGUCUCGACUGUGGAACAAGUAAAACAAAUGGUACCUGCUGAAGCUGAGAGUGCAGAUGAUAAACUGGUGCGGAAGGUGGUCAACCAAAAGAAUCAGACAGCAAAAACUAAAAAGCCCAUGAAGCCUGCUACUGAAGCAGUCUCAGCACCUGUUUCUAGGAGGGGUGAGAUUGAAGUGACUGAAGAAAAGGAGCAUCAGCAAACAAAGAAGGAAGAGGAGUUGGCCAGGAAGGUAGAGGAAUUGAGAAGUGAAGAAGAAGCAGCCAUGUUGAAGGAGCAAAGUCUGUUGGAGGAGAGAAAGCCAACGUUAAGGAGGCACUGGAAAGGCAACAAGGAACUGCAGAAAAGGCCAAUUUCUCUGUGAGUGCUGCCACCUUUUCAUGAUACAGCCAUCAUAAUGGAUGUUAAAAGCAGUCUAACUCUACAUACUUCCUUGCAUUAUACUAGUCAUUGAUGGGCUUAAAUUUUAAUUUAAAUGUAGUAUAAAUAUAUAAGUAGAUUGAUUGGGUCUGAAUUUGAACCUGGUUCGAGUCAUACUCCCAUCCAAUCCAAACUUGUGAUUGGGCUUGAAUUUCUUGGCCCAACCAGCGAAAUCAUUGACCAACGGCCCUUAGUUUGGGCUGGGCUUGAUGGUCCUCAGGUUAUGUAGGCUUAAUACUGAUUGGGUUUGGGCUUCCAUGCAGUUGUACUUGGAUUCUAUGUUUCCUAAUAUUAACACUAAAUUAGGUUUAAUUUAUAAUUAAAUAUAAUUAGUUUGAGACUAACUCCAAUCUUUAGUUAAACCAACUAAGUUUUAUGCAAAGGUUUAUAUUCCUAAUACCAUCAGGUAUUAUAGUAAAUACCAUUGAAAAACUAAAUUCAUGUGGAAGUUUCACUAGGUGAUACGACAUUAAAUUAUUAAGAUAAAAUUAAAAAAAGAUCAUGCUCGUAUGUCCCGUUGUUUGUCAUAAGAGAAUUUCUUUCUAGAUUUUUUUUUUUUUGCUCUUUUCAAUUCUAGAUAUUUUAAUAUAUCUUUACUUUUUCAAAAACAAUCCAUAGGAUUGUUCCCAAACAUAUAUCAUAUAAAUAUAUAUUUUUAAGAUUGAUUUUUAAGAAUGUUAUCAAAUAAACUCAUAAUAGCAUUUUUUUCUUUACAAUUACCAAUUCGUAUGAUGAAUUAAUUACUUUCAAUAACCGACAUCAUCUAAUCAAAAUUAUAAUUAAGUAUCAUAUUAAAAGAGUGUUUAAAAAAUCAAAUUUAAUAACUUAAAGUGAUUUAAUAAUUUAAUUUAAAUUAUUAAAAUAACUUGAUGUCACAAUUUAAAGUUAGAAAUGACUUAAUUUAUUUUUAUUUAAAUUUAAAACUAAGUUUACAAAAAAGGUUUAAAAUUCAUAUCAAUUAAGAAAUUAAGUCAUUAAGUUACUUUAAGCCAUUAAAUUGAUCUACCAAUUAAACACCCUUGAAGAUAUUACAUAAAGUUCACCUUCUACAUAUCAUGAAAAUUUAAAAUUAAUUACAACAUCAAGAAUCUUUAGUUCCUAAUCGAUAUCAUAUUUAAUCCUUGGUUGUAAAUUUCUUUACAUAUGUAGAUAUAUUUUUAUAUUGCAAGUGGGUUGCCGACUUUUCAUUUUAUACUAGUUUUGAAAUUAAGAUUGUAGUUUUUAUUUUGUCCAAAUCUAAUUUGGAGGGAGAAUCUUUAGAGGCUAUUUUAUAUUCAAAUAGGAAAAUUUUAAAUUUAAUAGUCCCACCUUAUAAAGGCAAAUAUCUUGGACCCUACAUGGGUGCCUCUUACAUGCAAAAGGACAAAGACUUAUUGAAAGCCUCUCUCAUUCACAUGGAUGCCAUCAUUCAUCAAAGUUGAAACAUGAAACCCACACAAAAGCAAUUUCAAUAUUUUUUUUCAUAACUAUAGCUGAGAAUCUCAAUAUUAUUAAAUAGUGACAAAAUUAAUUUCAAUAUUUUUUUUUCUUAUUUUUUGCUCCUUGUGGUUAUAUUUUCAUCUGGAAAGUAUUAAAUAUAUUAAAAAAGAAAAAAAUUAUAAAAAAAUUUUUUUCCUAGUUAAUUAUACUAUGAAAAAUAUAGAGUAAAAUAAAAUAUAAUUAAAAUUAGUUAAAAAAUUAUAUUUUUAUAAAAUUAUUUGACUUUUUUAUAAAAAUUUAAAAUAAGUGACAUGAGUUUGAAAUAGUAUAUAUAUUGACUUUAAUUCUUUCAAAUUAAUCACUAGGUUGUUAGAGACAUACACCUAUGAUCCAAAGGUUUUCCCAACAAAGAUAUCAAUAAAUCUUUCUACUCCAUUGAUUGCAUCUUGAAUUCUUUCAAAUUAAUCACUUCAUUGUAAUCAUUAUUCACUUCAUUGUGAUUUGUCAGACAACAAUUCAUUUCUGCUUCAUGGUUGGACCUUGAGGUAAGGCUUUAGAGGCAUAAGCCUCAAAAGCCUCUUAAAAUUGGUUCUACACUUCUUGCAUGAUGAAUGCAAGUUCCAAAUUUUGAUGACUUGGUAAUGUUGGAGUAAUUGGGUUGAAAGCAGUCAAACACAAAUAUUUAUUAAAGAAGAUAAAAAUUUGGAAGAAUUAAAAUUUUAUUGUAUUCUACCACUCUUUUUUUUAUUCAAAUAUUACAUAAUCCUUUAUUAACUAAAAAUGACAUAAUUAAAAGUAAAUUAUCAUUUGAUUGCAAUGGAUUUAAUAGAAUAUGGUGGAUAUGCUAAAUUUUUGUCUGAUAAUAAAAUUUGAUUUGAGUGAAUAUAAUUAGAGUAAAAUAGUCUUUUUAACUAUCACUUUUACAAUAAAAAGUGUUUUAUUUAAACAAAUAUUUAAUAAAAUUUUAAAAACAUUUGAUAAAUAAUUAUUAUAAAAACUCUUCCUCGAAAAUACUUCAAAGUUCGUCGGAUGGUAAAUUAUACAUCAAGAUCUUAAUGAUGGUCCAUGCAACCAUCACCAUUGAUUGUUUUUGAAAACACAACUUCAAUUUAAAUAAUAUUUUAAGGUAACUCCUAGUUAUCAUAUUUUACAAGAUAUUUUUUAAAAUUAUUGUUUUUUUUCUUUCAAAAUCCUAAGAGAGAGGUCACCAAUAUCAAAAUAAUGUGACCCAUCUCUAUACUAUUGUCUCCAUUAUUUGGACUAUAUCAUAGUUUCCUUAUUGACAACAUGGUAGCCAUGUUAAAUACCUACAACUUUGAAAACAAGAUCUCAAAACUAUGCCUAUUUGAUUAUAAGGCUUAAUUAUUAUAGUUUAUCAUUUCCUAGCAUAUAUAGUUCUUAGCAUCUAAGUAUUUGUUAUAUAAGAAUUUUUCUCAUUUUUCAAGCUUGCAUUUUGUUUAGAAAUUUUUUGAGUUUUUUACAAUCAUUUUGAAAAUGUCAACUCAUAAUUAUAUACAUUUUAGUUCUAUAAGGACUAAAAUCACUUAACAUCAUGGUAAUACUAUUUAAGGUAAUUUGCUUUGAAUCAGAAUGAACUUAUAUACAACUUACGAUUUAUGGUAAUAAUAGAGAUCGAAUUUAAAAAUACAUAAGUUUUCAAUUAAAUAUUAAUAUAUUUAUGUUUCCUUCUUAUUUUUAAUCCUAAAACACAUUAAAUGUAUGCUCUUGAAUUCCUCCAUGUAAUGCGAUUUGAUAUAAUGAUAAAUCAACAAUUAUGAUUUAAUAAUAUGGUGCUUUGACUUUUGACAUUUAAGUAACACCGUCAAUAAAAGCUCCAUAUCUUUGCUUCAUGGAAGAACGUACAAAUGAUGUGAUUGAAUUACAUUUCAAUUAUGUUUGAUUCUUUGAAAAUACUCAAGAAAAAUAAAUAUUUAAAAAAAUAAUUUUCUCAUAUUUGAUUUUACUAUAAAAAAAAUACAUAAUUAAAAUUAGUAAUAAAUUUAAAUAAUUUUAAAUUACUUAAUCUUUAUAUAAAAAAGUUAAAUUAGUAAAACGAGUUUAAAACAUGAUAUAAAGGUAAUUUAUUGACUUUAAUUUUUUUUUUUUACUUCACUUUUUCUUUCCUUCUCUUUGAUGAGAUCAUCUUAGAUAAAUUGUUAAUUGAUUGCAGCAUAUUCAAUUGAAUUCGAUAGUCUAGGUAUCAUAAAUCAUACAUGUUGUGCACCAUUUACAGUAAAUGAACCGUCACAAACCAUACAUAGAGGAGAUGUUGAUUUCAUUAUAAAUCAUACGAUAAUUACAAAAGAUAUGAUAUUAACUUGCAGUAAAUUGCAACAUCGGCACUCUAAUGCUAGACAAAGUAACUAGACAAAGUAAGUCUAAUUAUUGCUAACUUUCCUCAUCUUUCUUGGGCCUUUUGGGUGCUUUUUGUGCAAAAGAGAAAAAGCUAUAACUAAAUUGCCAAUCCAUCACCGACGUUAUAGACUGAUGAAGAAUACCAAAGGGAGUGUUACGAAAUAAUGAGAAUAAAUAAUAAGAAAAAUAGAAUAAGAACACAUAGAUAUACGUGAAAAACUUUAGAUGGGAAAAAUCAUGAGAAAACGAGAAAAAGAUCCGUUAUGUCAAAAAUUGGUACAAAAUGGGAGAGUUGAAAGCGACUACAACAAAAGUAUAAUCAUCGUAACCCUAAAACUAUACAUCAUUAUUAUAUAUAUAUAUAUAUGUAUAUAUAUAUAUAUGCGAGAGUUGAGAACAACUAUGGGAUGAGGUCUAUCGACUCGAUCCCUUCACUACCCCCACAAAUCUCUCAAAAAAUCUCAUAAUUUUAACUUUACUACAUAUAUUGCAUCGCGAGCUUUUCGAAUUGAAUAAAAAAGAAUUUGGAAUCAUCAAACAGUAACAAAGGGAGUGAGAUCAUAACUUUGGAAGGAUUUUUUUUUUUUUUAAAUGUAGACUUGAAUGGUAAAUACUAAAAUGUGUUUGAGAGUGAUACUUGAAAGUAUUUUUAAUAUUUUUAAUAUUCGAAAAAUAAAAAAUUUUCAAAUAUUAAAAAUAUUUCCUAAAAUCAAUAUCAAAAACCAUUUUACAAAAUCAGUAUCAAACUAUCAAACAUAAUUUGAAUUUAAAUAGAGACAAGAACAACAUUGACUCUUGACUCACCAAACCAGUCCUAGUUCACUUAUUGAAUGAAAAGAAAAUAAUUAAAAAUAAAUAACAGCAUCCAUUCUACCAUGUUAUGAAGAGUAAAAGACAAUGGAGAUUUUAACUUUGUUGCCUUAAAAGUCAUGCCCCCUUUCAUGAGUAUAUAUAAUAAAAUAUAUUCGUUUGCAUCUCUUGAAUGCAAAUAAUUUGAUAAUUUUUUUAUAAUUAAUUUAUGAAGAUAACAAUUUGAUAAUUAGACAAUUAUGUUGAUAUUUUGACAUUAUUAUCAAUUUACCAAAUAAGAUUGUUUUUCACCCAACAAUAAUUUACUUAGAAUAAUAAAUAAAUUAAAUUAGCUAACGUAACCAAAGCAUUUGAUUAAAAAUUGGUUUUCAUUUACAAAGAUAAGUUGAAAAUUAAUUUUAAUUUGAUUUAAUUAGGAAAUUAAUUUUUUGCUUGUUAAGUUUGUUUUAAUUUGUAAAUUCAUGUAAAUAAAAAAAAGGAUAAAAAGAUAAUUUUCAUGUGAAAAUUCAUUUAAUUUGAAAAUAAAUGAUGUAAUGUGUUUCAUUGUCGGUUAGCAUUUUUCUUUUUUUCUUGUUUGUAUAACUUUUUAAAAUGUAAAAGAUAAUAAUAAAAUAAGAAAUAAUCAAUAAAUUAAAAAAAUAAAAUAAAUGAUCUCACUAAAAAUGUUUUUUUACCUUAUGUCAUAUGACUUGGAUUAUUUUUUUUCUCUUUUCAGUAAAACAAACUUUUAAUAUAAAUAAAAAAAUAAAAUAGGACAUAGAGGAAAAUAGCUAAAGAGUAUAAAAAAAAUUCAAAAUAAUGCACUAAAAAUGGAAAGAGAAUAUGGUGAGUAGUUGAAUAAUAAUAAAUAAAAAAAAGUCAAAAAAGCUUCAAUACUCUUUGAAUCCACUGUUAGUGAAUGCCAAAAGGCAUACAUCAUACACGCAACUAGAAAUAAAAUGGUAAAAUAUAAAGAAAAGAGUCAGAAAAAGCACGAAGACUACAAUUAAUAAUCGUGGCAGGACUUCGACUCUCGUGAACCCCCCACUGUCACUCAAUGCUAUAGGGUUACAGGCUUGGAGCCAAUCAAAGAUAAUUGAGACAGAAGAACCAGACAUCCUCAACACCAUCGUCUCAGACUCUCAGCAUUCAAAGACCCCUUUGUAUUUUCUUCUUCCAAAUUCUGUUCUUGUAAUUUUGUUACAAUCCAACCAUGGCUUCCACUAGCAAUCCCAAGAGACCCUCUUCUUCUUCUAAUUCUAAAUGGAGGUACGAUGUGGUCUUGAGUUUCAGAGGCGAGGAUACCCGCAACAACUUUACUAGUCAUCUCUACAAGGCUUUGGAUCAUGCCAACAUUGAAACCUUUAUAGAUGAUGAAGGACUUCCAAGGGGAGAAGAGAUUGCGCCCGAGCUCCUAAAAGCUAUUGAAGGAUCAAGGAUUGCCCUUAUUGUCUUCUCGAAAACCUAUGCUCAUUCCAAGUGGUGCUUGGAUGAACUCGUCAAGAUCAUGGAGUGCGAGAAAGAAAAGGGACAACAGGUUUUUCCUAUUUUCUAUCAUGUAGAGCCGUCUGAAGUCAGGAACCAGACUGGGAUUUAUGGAGAAGCAUUUAACAAUCACGAAAGAAAUGCAGACGAGGAGAAGAAGAAGAAGAAGAUAGAGCAGUGGCGGACUGCCUUAAGGAAAGCUGGUAAUUUGAGUGGAUUUCCUCUGCAGGAUAGGUAAUCCCUACUUCACUUUUUCCAUUCCCAAUUUUCUGUCAGUUUAUUUUCAUUCUUGUUAAUAAAUAAAAUAUUUAUGAUUACAUUUAUCAAUCAAAAUCCAUUUUUAAGUAGUAGACAUUAAUAUGUUCGAUUUCUUGGAAAGUAAUAAGAAAGAGUAAAAAAAAAAAAAAAAAAGAUUUUCUCACAUUUAAUUUAUUAUUAAAAUUAUAAAAGGAAAUCAAAUAUAAUUAAAAUAUAUCAGAAAAAAUUAUAUUUGCCCAGCAGGUGGAAAUGCCAAGUUUUGAAUUGUUAAAAAUCUUUAAGAUUCCAAAAUAUUCUUCCUUUCUAAUCGAUCCAUCUUAGCCAUAAUUUCUAUCAGUUAAAAAAAAUGGUAGUCUGUCAAAUAAAUUGUUAAAAUUGGUUAUUUAUAUGCCUUGUAAAUUUGGAGAUAAUCUGAGAUGAUUAUUUAAAAUAUUGUAAUACUACCCUAAAUUUUUUUGGACCCUCUUAUGGGACAAAAAACUUAGUUAUUGCACCCUUAACCUUUUUCAAUUUUAGAGGAAUUUUCCAUUACUUAAAUAAUUUUCUCUUCUUCUCUGUGCACUACAUGAGUUUACAUUUCUUCUUUACUUAAUAUUGUUUGUUCCUCUAUAUUUGCAAGUUGAUUAUUAAAUUUAUUUACCUUUUAAUCUAAUGUUUGUAUCUCGUUUUAUUCUAAUUAUCCCAUGACUCUUCUUAAGACCUUGUCUUUCACGUUGAAUCAUCUAAUGCUAAACUUAUUCCCUUACUAUUCUACUUUGUGUACUCAUGGGAUUAAUGUAUUGCAAUCAAAAUUAUUUUUUUUAAUCUCUUUUUCUCUUGUAUGUUCUACAUUCCUCUAUACCUCACAAAUAAAAGCAAGUAACCUUACAGCUUGUUUGACAAUAUAUUUGCAACUAAUGUUCAAAAAAUAGUUUUCCCCAACACAAUGUUGAAAAUAAUGAACAAAAUUUUAUUUGAAAAUUCAAAUAUGAAGAACGACUUUCUCGACUUAUUAACUAUGAAGGUGCUAUAAAUUUUUGUACAACAUAACAAUUCUCUAAGUAUUAUCUAUAUUUUCAAUUCUUUAUCACAAUACUCUAUAAGAAAAUACCUAAAAACAUUUCAAAUAUGCUCUUAAAAAUGAACUUGUUUACCAAACAAAUUUUUGAAAAUUAUUUUUAAUAAAAGAAAAAAUUAAAAAUAUAAUCAAGUGACAUGAAAUAUGGGAUGAAAAAUAAUAAGUUCUGUAUAUUAGAUUGACUAUACACACAGUUUAUAUUGGAUAUUACAAGAGAAGAAAUAAGAAACAAGAGACAUAAUAGAAAACUAACUUAUUCAUAAACUAACUUAUUCCUAAAUCAUAAAACUAUCUAUUUACAAAAAUAAAAAACUAAUAUAAUAUGAAAAUAAUUCUCCUAUUCUAUUUACAGCUCAAUUACAACCUAUUUACAGCUCAACACUCCCCCUCAAGCUAAGGAAUAGAUGUCUUCCAUUCCAAGCUUGAAUACAAGAUCGUGAAACAUUGAACUGUUCAGCCCUUUUGUUAGGAUAUCAACUAAUUGAUGUUUUGAUGGAACAUAGGACAUACACACUACUCCUUCCUCCAAUUUUUCUUUGAUAAAAUGCCUAUUAAUCUCAAUAUGUUUUGUCCUAUUGUGUUGUAUAGGGUUAUGAGCAAUAUUGAUAGCUGACUUGUUGUCACAAUAGAGCUUCAUAUGACCAUCCCACUUGAUUCUCAAAUCAUCUAGAAUAAUCUUCAGUCAAAGUAGUUCAUACAACCCUUGAGCAAUGUCCCUAAACUCUGAUUUUGCAGACGACCUUGCUACCACAUUCUGCUUUUUACUUUUCCAUGUUACCAGAUUACCUCGAGGAAAAGUACAAUACCCUAUAGUUGAUCUUCGAUCCACUAGGGAACCUGCAUAGUCAACGUCAGUAUAUGCUUCUAGAGUAAGAGUAUUGUUCUUUUUGAACAAAAUUCCUUUCCCGGGGUUGCCUUUCAAGUAAUGCAGCACCCUGUAAGCAACUUGAAGAUGAGGUUCUCUUGGAUCAUGCAUGAAUUGACUGAUCACGCUCACCGAGUAGGCGAUGUCUGGCAAGUGUGAGCAAGGUAUAUGAGCCUACCAACUAGCCUUUGGUACAUUCUUUUAUCCACCACUGGUUCUUCUUUAGCUUCUCCCAACUUGUGAUUUGGAUCCAUUGGGGUAGAGACUAGUUUACACCCAAUCUUCCUUGUUUCUGUCAAUAAAUUAGUCACAUACUUUUGUUGAUAGAUGAAGAUCUCUUGUGUGGAAUAUGCCACCUCAAUAUUGAGGAAGUGCUUUACUUUCCCUAGUUCCUUUAUCUCAAACUCUGUUGCUAAUCUUUGCUUCACUUCAUGCUUUUCUCUCUCAUCAUUUCCAGUCAUUAUGAUGUCGUCAACAUAGACUAGAAAAGCAAUUACUCCCCCUGUAGCCGAGUGCUUAAUGAAGAGAGUGUGGUCACCUUGGCUUUGCUUGUACCCAUACUCUUUCAUGACUUUUUCAAAUCUCUCAAACCAAGCCCUAGGAGAUUGUUUUAGCCUAUAAAGGGCCUUUUUCAGCCUACACACCUUGUUACCUAUGUUUCCCUCAAAUCUUGGUGGGAUGUUCAUGUAAAUCUCUUCAUCUAAAUCACCAUGAAGAAAUGCAUUCUUAACAUCAUACUAUAGGAGUUGCCAAUUGUAGUGGGUAGCCAAGGACAGUAGGAUUCUUAUAGUAUUCAUUUUUGCAACUGGAGCAAAAGCCUCCUGAUAAUCAACUCCAUAAGUUUGAGUGUACCAUUUGGCUACCAAUCUUGCUUUAUGUCUCUCAAGAGAUCCAUCAGUCUUAUAUUUCAGCGUGAAAAUCCACUUGCAAUUAACAAUGUUUUUCCCUUUCGUCUUUCAACAAUCUCCCAUGUUUUAUUAUUUUCUAAUGCAUUCAUCUCCUCUCUCAUAGCAUCCUUCCAUUCCCUUUUUGUCAAUACCUCAGAAACAGUGUUAGAGAUGAUAGUGGUGUUUAAACUCACAAUGAAAUUCUUGUGGGCUAGUGAUAGGUGCUUAAGAGACACAUAGUGUGAUAGUGGAUAGAGUGGUUAAUUAGUGCAUUAUCCGGUGCCUUUUCUGACAGCAAUGAGAAGGUCUAGGUCUAGGUUGUCUGUUGAGUCAAUGGAAGUUUCACCAAGUUGUGUAUGUAAAGGUGGGUCUAAUCUUACCGUGAUUUCAUUCCUAGGAUUUGAGUUGGAUUCUUGGACCUGCUAUUGUUCUGGAAUGACCUUUUCCCUUUAAUACAUCUUAGGAAACUGUGGAAAAUUACAAGUGACACUGGUUGGAAUAGGGAAUGACACGGGUUUAGUGGUAAAAUUGGGUGACUCAGGUGUGAUUAGUUCGGAUGACUCAAGUUCUUCAUCACCAUGGGUUGAGACAUGAGGAAGGUUAAGAGGUUCAAAGGAGUCACAAGGACUAUCCUCCAUCAUUGAAAUCUCCCCCUAAAUAGAGGACUUGGGAAAAAAGGUUUAUUUUCUGUGAAGGUGACAACUGCAGAGAUGUAAAAUUUUCUGGCUAAGGGAUUGUAACACUUGUAUCCUUUUUGAGUAGAUGAGUAAACCAAGGAAGACACAUUUUAUGGCUCGGGGGUCUAGCUUGUCUCUAUGAUGGUUGUGGACAUGAACAAAUGCAAUGCAUCAAAAUACACUAGGAGUGAGCCCAUAUGAGGUUCUAAAGUGUGGAUAGAAACUCUUAAGUAUCUCUACGGGGCUUUUGUUGUCUAACACUUGUGAGAGAAUUCUAUUUAUCAUGUAUGUGGCAGUAAGAACAGCUUCCCCCCAAUAGGACUUAGGAACAUUCCCUUGAAAGAGUAAGGCUCGGGUUGUGUUGAGUAAAUGCCCAUUUUUUCUCUCGGGUAUCCCAUUUUGUUGGGGUGUGUUAACACAUGAUGAGUCAUGGAGAAUGCCCUGUGAUUGAAAAUUGGGUGACAAAGUAUGGUUAAAGUAAUCUCUAGCAUUGUCUGUCUUAAAACUUUUUAUUUUAACCCCAAAUUGGUUUUGAACCAUUGAGUGGAAAUUAGGUAUAACAAUGCUAACAUCAGAUUUUUGUUUAAGAAGAAAGAUCCAUGUAAUCUGAGUGCAGUCAUCAAUUAAGGAUACAAACCAACGAGCCCCAUAAACAUUAGGUAUAGUCGAAGGACCCCAUAUGUCACUAAGAAUCAAAUGAAAAGGAUGAGAACUUCUUUUAUUGCUAAUAGGAAAAAAUUCACGAGUAUGUUUUGUCAAUUCACAAGUUUUGUAAUGAAACUUAGAAAUAUCUAAUCCUUGAAACAAAUGAGGAAACAUGACCUUUAAAACCCUAAAAGAUGGAUGACCUAGACGUAGGUGAUACAACCAAAUGGUAUCUUUAUUUAAGGAACUCUAAAAAGACACACAAAUUAUUACUAGUUUUCUGAGAUGAUUCAAGGUGAUAAAGACCGCUCAUUUCCUUAGCAAGUCCAAUCCUCCUUCCCGAGCCUUGUUCCUGAAAAACACAAUAAGAAUGGAAAAAAAUAGCAGAACAUUUAAGAUCAUGGGUAAGCUUUUGAAUGGAAACAAGGUUGGCCGACAAUUUUGGUACAUGGAGGACAUUUUUAAGAAUAAGGGUAGGUGUGAUAUAUAUGUCUCUGAAACCUGCAACGGUAACUAAAAAGCCAUUGGCCAUUGCAAUUUUCUUGUUACUUGGGUUUGAGGUAUAGGUAUGGAAAAGUUGAGAUUUGGAGGUCAUAUGGUCUGUGGCACCGAAGUCUAUUAUCCAAUAGUCAUUAUAAACCUUGUGUGAGGCAUUUAUGCAAAAUGAGAGUGAAGGUGUACCUGAAUUUUCCAACAUCUUCCACGAAAAAAAAAACCUGAUCUCUUGGGAAUUAAGGUAGAUCGCGAAACAAAAAAACCAGCAACAAUGAAGGUUGGUAAAAGAACACGUGAAUAAAAAAAAUCUAACUAUGAAGGCCAGAAAAAUGGCGAUGAAGGCCAGAAUGAUGCCCAGGUCUUAAAAACCUACUGCUCUGAUACCAUGACACGAAAUGUGGGAUGAAAAAUAAUAAGUUUUGUAUAUUAGAUUGACUAUAUACAUAGUUUAUAUUGGAUAUUAUAAGAGAAGAAAUAGGAAACAAGAGACAUAAUAGGAAACUAACUUAUUCCUAAAUCAUAAAACUAUCUAUUUACAAAAAUAGGAAACUAACAUAAUAGGAAAAUAAUUCUCCUAUUCUAUUUACAGCUCAAUUACAACCUAUUUAUAGCUCAACAUUAAGUUAUAAAACUAUUUUAUAUUCUAAAGAAAAAAAAAAUCUAUUUUCAAAAACAAUAUCUAUAUAAGCAUUUUUCUUUUAAGUAUGAUUUUAAAAUGUUUUUCCAUGAGUCUAAUUGUUGCUAGGAUUUUGACCAAUAAACAAAUAUGUGUGACUUUCCUCGUCAUUGUAAUUUAUAUUUGGGAAAAAAAUGGGGAUUUCAUCAAAAUAUGAAACUUAUGUAACAAUUAUUAGCAACCUAAAUAUAAAUAAAACUAAAACGGAGAAUUUACUUGUUUAUGGAAUAAAUAGUUGAAAAUUUUAUAAGCAUUGAGGAUGGUCAUAAAUCAUGUUGUAAUUAAUAAAAGCAUUUCUAGGUUAUGGAACUUGGGUGGCAAAUUGGUAGAUUUCUAGCCAAACUAGUAUUUGUCUCUAUAAUAAAAUCUCUUAUCAUAAAGGGUAAUGAUACUUUAGAAAGGUCAACUUCAAAUUGGGCCUUUAGAAGCAAUUAAGAUAUUUACAUUAUUUUAUUGCAUGUAUACUUGACAUGACAUAAUGAAAUUUUAUUUAAACAUGCAAUUCAACACAUUUUUAAUUUACAUUCUAUUUGACCUUAAUUUAAUGGCACCGAACGAAACUAAGAAUCAUUCUAUAAUUUCCAUUUACUUCAUCUUUGUUUUCUUUGACAAUUGAUUGUAGCUCACUGCAUGUUUUAUUGUACUUUAUAAUGGACAGAUUUGAGUCAGAGUUUAUUCAAGAAAUCAUUGGUGAGAUUCGAAGAUUAACUCCUAAGUUGGUACAUGUUGGUGAGAACAUAGUUGGAAUGGAUGAAAAUUUGAAAGAGGUGGAGUUAUUGAUAAACGCCCAAUCAAAUGGAGUGAGCAUGGUUGGGAUUUAUGGGAUUGGUGGGAUUGGUAAAACUACCAUUGCCAAGGUUGUUUACAAUGAUAUGUUAGAUCAAUUUCAACGUCACAGCUUUCUUGAAAAUGUGAGGGAGAAAUCUAAAGAUGAUCAUGGUUUGCUUGAAUUACAAAAAAAACUUCUUUGUGAUAUCCUAAUGGAGAAAAAUCUGAAGUUAAGAAAUAUUAAUGACGGUAUCAAAAUGGUAAAGAGGAAGUGUCGCAUUGAAAAGGUUCUCAUUGUUCUUGAUGAUGUAGAUUGUCAAAAACAAUUAAAAUUCUUAGCUCCUAAUUCUGAAUGUUUUCAUCAAGGAAGCAUAAUCAUCGUGACCACGAGAAAUAAACGUUGCCUAGAUGUACAUAAGUCAUAUUCAUCAUAUGAGGCUAAGGGAUUAGCACACACGCAAGCUAAGGAACUCUUUUGUUGGAAUGCCUUUCAGCAAGACCAUCCCGAGUAUGAGGACCUCUCUAAUUGUAUACUAGAUUAUGCUAAAGGCCUUCCAUUGGCUCUUGUAGUUUUGGGUUCUUUUCUCUAUCAAAGGGAUGUGGAUUACUGGGAAAGCACACUGCAUAAACUAAAAACAAACCCUCUUGAGGAUAUUCAAAAGGUACUCCAGAUAAGUUAUGAUGGACUAGAUAAUAAAUGGAAGGAGUUGUUUCUUGAUAUUGCAUGUUUCUUCAGAAAUGAGGAUAAAAAAGUUGUUACAAGAAUACUAGAAGGUUGCAAAUUCCAUCCUAAGUCUGGACUAACGGUUCUUCAUGAGAGGUGUCUUAUUUCUAUAACAGACGACACCAUAAGGAUGCAUGACUUGUUACAAGAAAUGGGUUGGGCAAUUGUUCGCCAAAAUUUUCCAGAACAUCCUGAAGAAUGGAGCAGAUUGUGGGAAUUACAGGAUAUUAAAAGUGUUUUACCACAAAAUAAGGUAGGAGAAAAAUACAUGAACUUACUUGAGAUCUAAAGACAUAUAAAAGAUUCAACAAGAAUUAUUUUUAUUAUUAUUAUAGUUUUGAGUAUCUUAUCUAUAUAAUUUUAGUGAAUCCCUAUGCAUCUUAUAUUGCUUAUUCUCAAUGCUUGUUUUCAGGGGACAAAAAACAUAGAGGGGAUAUCCAUAAAUCGGUCUUGGGAUAGUAAAAAACGUAUACAACUUACUGCUGAAGCUUUCAGAAAGAUGAAUCGACUUAGAUUGCUCAAAGUUAAAGGCGAUAUGGUGCAGCUUUCCUAAGACUUUGAAUUGCCUUGUCAUGAUUUAGUAUAUUUUCAUUGGGAUAACUACCCUUUGGAAUAUUUGCCAUCAAAUUUUCAUGUAGAAAAUCCUGUUGAACUUAACCUCUGGUACAGCAACAUAGAACAUCUUUGGGAAGGAAACAUGGUAUUGCUAUUAUUUAGUUAUAUUUUUGCUCUAGACUAAUUUUAAAGUCUUUUGAAGUUUACUUAUUGAAACGAAUUUUCUUCUGUUACAGCCUGCUAAAAAGUUAAAAGUCACUGAUCUUAGUUAUUCCAGGCAUCUGGUUGACAUUUCAAACAUCUCAAGUAUGCAAAAUUUGGAGACUCUAAUUCUAAAAGGUUGUACAAGGUUACUUAAGUGUUUCACCCAUGCUUAAUGUUAUUAUUAGUCAUGAACUAACUGUUUUCUUGAAUAUAAUAGGAUGCAAGAGACUUGAGAGUCUUCCAAGGAACUUUCAUAAGCUGGAAUGCCUUCAAACACUCUCUUGUGAUGGCUGUUCAAACUUAAAAGUUUUCCGAAGAUCAAGGAAGAAAUGAGAAGUCUAAGAAAGCUUAAUUUAAGUCAUACAAGUAUAAUGGAAUUAACAUCAUCAAUUAGGCAUCUAAAUGGGCUUGAAGAGUUGGACUUAAGUAAUUGCAAAAACCUUUUGAGUCUUCCGGACAGUAUUGGUAGUUUGAACUCUCUUCAAACUCUCGAUCUAGUUGAGUGUUCAAAACUAGUGGGUUUUACAAAUAUCAAUAUUGGAAGUCUAAAAGCUCUUGAAUAUUUGGAUUUGUCAUGGUGUGAGAACCUUGAGAGUCUUCCAAAUAGUAUUGGUAGUUUGAGCUCUCUUCAAACUCUUUUAUUGAUAGGGUGUUCAAAAUUGAAGGGCUUUCCAGAUAUCAAUUUUGGAAGUCUAAAAGCUCUUGAAUUGUUAGAUUUCUCACACUGCAGAAACCUUGAGAGUCUUCCUGUGAGCAUUUACAAUUUGAGCUCUCUCAAAACUUUGGGGAUUACAAAUUGUCCAAAACUCGAGGAAAUGUUAGAGAUUAAAUUAGGGGUUGAUUGGCCAUUUUCACCUCUAACCUGUCACAUUUCAAAUUCAGCAAUAACCUGGUAUGAUGACUGGCAUGACUGCUUUUCCUCAUUAGAAGCAUUAAACCCACAGUGCCCCCUGUCAUCACUGGUAGAAUUAUCUGUAAGAAAGUUUUAUGGCAUGGAAGAAGACAUCCUCAGUGGCAGUUUCCACCUAUCCUCAUUGCAAAUAUUAUCUCUAGGGAACUUCCCUAGCGUGGCAGAAGGAAUCCUCGAUAAGAUUUUCCAUCUAUCCUCGUUGGUAAAAUUAUCUCUUACUAAAUGCAAGCCAACGGAAGAAGGAAUCCCUGGUGAUAUUUGGAACCUAUCUCCACUGCAACAAUUAUCUCUACGUGACUGCAAUCUAAUGGAAGGAAAGAUCCUCAAUCAUAUUUGCCAUCUAACAUCCUUGGAAGAAUUAUAUCUGGGUUGGAACCAUUUUAGUAGCAUACCUGCUGGCAUCAGUCGACUUUCUAAUCUAAAGGCCCUUGACUUGAGUCAUUGCAAGAACCUUCAACAAAUUCCAGAGCUUCCAUCAAGUCUACGAUUUUUAGAUGCGCACUGUUCGGAUGGUAUUUCAUCAAGCCCCUCGCUUCUACCUAUUCAUUCUAUGGUCAAUUGCUUCAAAUCAGAAAUUGAGGUAUGAUUCUCAUGCCACGUUCCUCUUUCUUUUGUACCCAUUGAAUUUACAUGGUGCUUUUGUGCAGGACCGCAAGGUUAUUAAUCAUUAUUCUUACUUCUGGGGCAAUGGAAUUGGUAUUGUUAUUCCUAGAAGUAGUGGAAUUCUAGAGUGGAUAACAUAUCGGAAUAUGGGAAGGAAUGAAGUAACAGUAGAGCUCCCUCCGAAUUGGUAUAAAAAUGAUGACUUGUGGGGAUUUGCUUUAUGCUGUGUUUAUGUUGCACCUGCCUAUGAAUCUCAGUAUGAAUUAGGUCAUAUAUCUAAGGAUGACGCUGAACUUGAAGAUGAAGGACCAGGGUUCUGUUGUGAUUUGAGUAUCGAAGGAAAUAAUCAAUCAGGAGACGUGGGUUUUUUCCUUCUUUAUUCUUGCUGUGUUAAAUAUGAUGUGUCAGAUAUGCAGUGGGUGAUAUGUUAUCCCAAGUUAGCUAUUGAGGAAAGUUAUCACACCAAUCAAUGGACACACUUCAAGGCUUCAUUUGGUGGUGCCCAAGUGGAAGAGUGCGGAAUCCGUCUUGUAUACACAGAAGAUUAUGAACAGAAGCAUCCAGCAAUGGCACAAGGCAGUACUUCUCAUGGGAAUUUUGGUGAGCAUGGAUCGGUAAGAGAAGAUACUGAUAGUAAGCUCACAAUAAAAGGAAUCCCACAGAACAGAGCCCAAGAGAGGAGUCACACCAUAAAAGAUCCAUAGAAACCCAAGACUGAUCCCAAGUAUUAGGCUCAACCACACUUGCAUCACUAAUGCUAUCUUUACUGGUAAUUCAUCUUCCUUUCUCUUUCUAAUUCAAAGGUCAGAAUUUUUUUUUAUCGUGUUUCUCCUUUUUAUUUGUCUUUUUCCCCAAGACAAACAAAACUUUGAGGCUAUCACCCAUGGGCGCAAACUUCAAUGGUACACCUCCCAAGUUUGUUUUUCUCUCUCUCCAACCGUCUUUCCCUAGAUUUUUCUGCAUUUUCUUCAAACCCAUAUUUCCAUAUGAAAUUCAAUUACAUUCGAGCAUUUCAAUCUCUGUAGCUACUGUCUGAAUCAUUUAUAGGGUUUCUUUUUUCUGGAAGUUUGUAAUGUUAUUGAUUUAAGACUUCAUGUUUGGGGAUGUUUUGGGUGGCUUGUUCACUGGUAUUAAUUGUGAUAAUUGCAGCUCUGGUGCUUUCAAUGACUUUGACAAUAGUCGAAACUAUGUUGAAUGCUUGUACCAAGGGAAUGGACUUCAGUUGCUCUAGGGUUAGUGCUAUAACAUCAGUAUUCACUCUUCAAGAAUGUAUAUAGUUGUUGUUUUGGAAUUUUGAAAUUACUUAGCAUCAGACAAUUUCUAACUCGGGAUUUGGAUUGGGAACCAUAAGUUAUCAUUAGAGAGUGUAUGAGAAGGAAUUUUAGAGUGAGAUGGGUGAUGCAUGUUGAGGGAUGAAAGAGGGAUGUAUCUCACCCUAGAGUUCUUUGGAAUAAUUAUAGGAUUUUGUAAGUAACUUUGGACUUACUUGCAAUGUUCUGGAUUUGUGAAUAAUUUAUAGAAUGCAUUGGGUUUUUUUUUUUUGUUUUUUUUUUUGGUCCAUAAGAAACUAAAAGAACUUUGAGAGUGAAUAAUGUAUGACUGUACUCUUCUCUAUCUCUCUGGUCAUAGCACACGUAUGAUUUGGUACUUUUUUGCAGGCUUCAACAGCAGCAAAGCAUCUGGUGGCUUGCAGUACUAAUCUUACAUUAUAUUCUCUGUUUUGCAAUCAUUUGGUACUUUUUGUCCCAACCAAGGAUAGCUCUGUGCAACAGUCUCGACUGUGGAACAAGUAAAACAAAUGGUACCUGCUGAAGCUGAGAGGGCAGAUAAUAAAUUGGUGCGGAAGGUGGUCAACCAAAAGAAUCAGACAGCAAAAACUAAAAAAGCCGAUGAAGCCUGCUACUGAAGCAGUCUCAGCACCUGUUUCUAGGAGGGGUGAGAUUGAAGUGACUGAAGAAAAGGAGCGUGAGCAAACAAAGAAGGAAGAGGAGUUGGCCAGGAAGGUAGAGGAAUUGAGAAGUGAAGAGGAAGCAGCCAUGUUGAAGGAGAAAAGUCUGUUGGAGGAGAAAGCCAACGUUAAGAAGGCAUUGGAAAGGAAACAAGGAACUGCAGAAAAGGCCAAUUUCUCUGUGAGUGCUGCCACCUUUUCGUGAUACAGCCAUAAUAAUGGAUGUUAAAAGCAGUCUAACUCUACAUGGCGUUUAUUUUCCCCAGCCAUAGAUUGGAAUCUGCCAGUCUGACUCUCAUAAGAAAGAAAAUUUUCCAUCGAUCCUCGUAUGGAUUAUUGGAGAAGAUUUUAACAUGGAGUUCACAAGAGAGUUUCUAACACCCACUUAAAAGGACAUUUUAGAAAACUUAUUGAAAAAUAACAUGAGAGUACAUAAAUUUUUAGAUAUUUUUAAAAAUAUUUGAAAAUUUAAAUUAACUAAAAGUAUUUGAAAAAUAUUUGAUUGAAUUAACAAAUAUCAAGUAUUUGCAUAUGAAAAAAUAAUAAACAUUGUGAAGAAUUUUUUUAUUAAUUAGUGCAUAAUAAUUUUAUUUUCCUUUUAAUCACAAAUUAAUCUAUGGCAAAAUCUCAUAUUUGUUGUAGGGACAAUGUUGUCUUACAUUUUUCUUUCAUGAUGGACUCAAAUUUUAAUUUAAAUGUAGUAUAAAUAUAUAAUUAGAUUGAAAUUUCGUCCACUAAGAUUGAUUGGGUAUGAAUUUGAACCCUCGUUCGGGUCAUACUUCCAUCCAAUCCAAGCUUGUGGUUGGGCUUGAAUUUCUUGGCCCAACCAGUAAUGUCAUUGACCAAUAGCCCUUAGUUUGGGCUGGGCUUGAUGGUCCUCAGGCUAUGCAGACUUAAUACUCAUUGGGUUUGGGAUUCCAUGUAGUUGUAAUUAGAUUCUAUGUUUCCUAAUAUUAACACUAAAUUAGGUUUAAUUUAUAAUUAAAUAUAAUUAGAAGAGGAAAAUGAAAUAUCAUAUCCUUGCAAUGAGUUAUGUGGAUAUUUCAUUUAAAAAGUCUAAUGUGAAAGGUUGUUAUGGGUAGUCGUUUUUUGAUGCAAAUUUUCUAUGGAGUCCUAAUCUUAGAAGGCAAUAGAAAAUUCACAACCAAGAUUUCUUAAAAAUAACUACAUUAAAGUGUAAACAAAAUAUCAAACUAGAAUUUCUUAGAAAUAUCAAACUAGAAAGUGAAAUAUAAUACAAUUCAAGUAUGAAAAUGAAGGACAAAAGAAUAGACCAAAUUUGAAAGACCGUUCAAAGACUCGUUUCUUGUUACAAUCCAAUCAUGACUUCCACUAGUAGAGAUCCUCUUCUUCUUCUUCUUCUUCUAAUUCCAAAUUGAGGGACCAUGCGUUCUUGAGUACCCUCAAAAGCUUUUUUGAUCAUUUAUACUGUAUAACCUUACUUGUAAUAACUGUAUAAGAUAUUUGUGCUAAUUGAUAAGAUAUUUGUGCUAAUUGUAUAAAACAUGUCCUUAUACAUCUUGAAUUUAUAAAUUUAUGAAUUUAUGAAUAACCCAAUAAUCAAUGACUUCUUAAUAAAAUUUUUUUAAUUUUGUUGCCUUAAAAGUCAUGUCCCUCCUUUACAAAGCUUCUUAGAAAUUUCAUAUAUUUUUUUUUGUCAUCAUCUAUAUUUCAUAUUUCUUUUUCGUCUUCAAUAUUUGUGUAUAUAUCUAAAAUAAAACCUAUAAGAAAAUGAAAAAUUUACACUUAAAAAGUGUUUAUUUGAAAUUUAGGCAAUGAACUUAAAGGAGUUUGGAAUUACUCCUCGAAGUUGAUAUGUUUGUUUUAAAAUCAAAGUGGAUUUCAAUUUUCUUUAAAUCCACGUUAUGAUAUUACGGUAAUAUGUAGUGUCUUUAAAACCAUGGCUUCCUCUAGCAAUUCUAAGAGACCCUUUUACUCUUCUUCUUCUUCUAAUUCUAAAUGGAGGUACGAUGUGUUCUUGAGUUUCAGAGGCGAGGAUACCCGCAACAACUUUACUAGUCAUCUCUACAAGGCUUUGGAUCAUGCCAACAUUGAAACCUUCAAAGAUGAUAAAGAACUUCGAAGGGGAGACGAGAUUGCACCCGAGCUCCUAAAAGCUAUUGAAGGAUCAAGGAUUGCCCUUAUUAUCUUCUCGAAAACCUAUGCUCAUUCCAAGUGGUGCUUGGAUGAACUCGUCAAGAUCAUGGAGUGCAAGGAAGAAAAGGGACAAAAGGUUUUUCCUAUUUUCUAUCAUGUAGAGCCGUCUGAAGUCAGGAAACAGACUGGGAUUUAUGGAGAAGCAUUUAAC